rnacentral:lncRNA from 1 species
UCUCUCUCUCUCCAUUUCUCUCUCUCUCUCUAUGCUUCCCCUAAAACGCAUCAACUACCUCGCUCCCAUGCUCGCCUCCGCCCUCCUCCUCCUCCUCCUCCUCUCCGGAUCCCUCGAGUUCCCCUCCCUCUCCUCCCCCUUCCCCACGCCCUCCACCCCCGUCGCCACAUUCGACCCUGUCGACCCCCGCCCCUCCGACCCCUUCACCGACCUCCUCUCCGCCUUCGCAAGGUGGGACGCCGAGAUCGGGUGCGCGCGGUUCAGGGACAGGUACGGCGGAUGGACGGCGAGCGCGUCGGCGAUCCAGGACUCCGACGGCGGGGGGGAUUGCACGGUUACGGCGGGGGGGCUCCGGCAUGUUAGCGUUGUUGUGAAGGGGUGGACCUGGAUCCCGGACAACCUCGACGGGUUCUACUCGUGCCGGUGCGGGAUCACGUGCUUGUGGACGAAAUCGGAAGCAGUCGUGGAUAAGCCCGAUGCCCUGUUGUACGAGAAUGCGAUGCCUCCGAGGAAGGUAUAAUACUCGUCAAUUUUAAUUUCAUUGAUUUCGUCUUGUGUUGGGAGUAGAAAUUGGAACCGAAAUGGUGUUUUUCUUGGUGAAUUUACUCAAUUUGUGGGAAAGAUGGUAAUUUGUGGAGUCAAAUGAGAUUGAAUAGUGUAUAUGUGCGUUGAAUUGGGUGACGAUUCUUGUAAAAAGGAAGCUCAUAUGAAGUCCUCGAUGAAAAACUUAGCUUGUAGGGUGUUGGUGUAUUUUGUUUACUUUAUCAACGAGGGAAUUUAACAAAAAGUUUGAUCUUUGGUGCCCGAUCUAUAGUCUUGGGGCUUAUCAUAUUCUUGUAGUCAUGCUGAAAUGCCCAAUGCUGAAAUCAUACUUAAUAUAACGAUUUUCUGAAUCUUCUGUACUGCUUAAUCACUCUGAUAUAUCUGCGUUGUUUUAUAACUUUGGCUGUUCAAUUUGUUUUCUCAGAGACGCAAAGGCGAUCCUCUCCGUGUGUAUAUAGAUCUUGAGGCUAGUAGGAAACCAACAGGUUUUGAGGACAUUUUUAUUGGCUAUCAUGCAAAAGAUGAUGUUCAAGCAACAUAUGCUGGAAAAUCAUUCCACAUCAGCCGCAGUUACCAUGUAUCAACCCAUAAAAGAAAUGUAAGGUCGAAUUUCAUAAAGAUUGAGAACAUAAAGGCCUCAUUUUUUUUUUCUUCAAUUUGAGUUAUUUGGCUUAACUGCCACAGGUAAAAGGUUGUAUAUAAUGUGAUGUGGUGCUAUCCUCCAGUUACAUCCUCCUUAAUCGUUUAGGGCUCAUGCAUGACUUUGCAUUCUCAAGGCAUCAUUAUUUGAUUUGAAUAAACCCAUCAAUUUGUAUAUUUGAAUCAUUGUGCAUUAUCUUAAGUCAUGUUGACUCUAUGCUAUACUAGAAAGAUCUUCCAGCUUUGCAAUGUGAAAAUUUGACAUUUUUAUUCCCUGAAGAGCUUGUCAUUCCUACAUGUACCUCCAUUUUGCCAAUGAGAUUGCUUUGUUAAGAGCAAUGAGCAUCGUAGACCUAGGAGCUGUUCAAAUUCUCAAUUGACAAGUUACUUAUGUAGUGGUGUUUUAUUCAUCAGGAUAUCCUUGUUUACUGGUCUUCUUCAAGGUGCCUCGAACAACGCGACCAGCUCGCCAAAAGCUUCCUCUCCCUUGUCCCCCAUCAUUCAUUUGGCAAAUGCUUGAACAAUGUUGGCGGUCUGGAUAAAGCCCUAUCCUUCUAUCCCGAUUGCUCGGUCAGUGACAGCUCAGCACCGCAUUGGUGGGACCAUUUGCACUGCUCUAUGUCCAAUUAUAAGUUCGUCCUCGCGAUCGAGAACACCAGAACGGAGAGCUAUGUGACAGAAAAGCUAUUCUACGCCCUAGAGGCUGGGGCGGUGCCCAUCUACUUUGGUGCACCUAAUGUGUGGGAUUUUGUACCCCCGAACUCCAUUAUAGAUGGAUCCAAGUUUAAGUCUAUAGAGGAAUUGGCUUCUUAUGUAAAAGCCCUCGCAGAUGACCCAAUAGCUUAUGCGGAAUAUCAUGCUUGGAGGAGGUGCGGGGUGGUGGGGAACUAUGGGAGGACUCGUGCAGCUAGUCUUGAUACAGUGCCAUGCCGGUUGUGUGAGUUGGUUAGUAGGAAAGGUGGGAGGAAUGCCAGAUCAUUAUGAGGCUGAACUGCUUUUAAAAUUUUCUCGUUGAUAUUGGUUAUAUCAUAGGUUGACACAAAAGGAAAUUAUCGUUUUUUCCCAGUUCGUUACAUUUUUUUUUCUCUCUCUUUGCGACCUGAGUUAUGUUGUUAUUUGUAUUUACAUACUGCAAUACAAACCUGUGUGGGAUUGAGAAAUUAAGCUGUUAUUGUUGCAGUUGACUGACAACAACAGUGUAGUUGUAUACUUAUAUAUGAAUUGAUUGAUUUUCUAUUCAACAUACUACAUUGCCUCUUGCGAAAGGUUAAUAAUACAUUGUCUCUUGCGAAAGGUAAAUAAUACAGUGAUUCUGGUAGCUAAUUAUUAUUCAAAUACCCAUAAAGCAAUUCGUUAUAAUGUGAAAUGCUUAGUCGUUCUGACUAACAAGAGUUAUAUCAUGCAGUAAUAUGAUUUGACAUGUUUAAUUCUUCAGAAGGCAGUUCGAUCUUUUUUGCCUUAUAUUUGAUUGGUAUUAGAAGCUUCCUCAUCGCCUUCUGUAUGAAACUUCCACACUGUAGCCAUUAUACCCAGCGAAGAAGGCGAUGAAGGUCUCGCCUUUCCAUUUCUUUUUGUCUGCAUUAGAUACAAAUAGAUAUGGAGAGGAAAUAAGGAAACUCGCGAAACUUUGUUUUCUUUCUGAAUAUGAAUGAACUAAAUGUUGCUCAGAAUAAAUAUUGCCUUAGCUGCCGAGUUAAACUCUGAUUUGUUCUUACCUUCUUUAGUGCAUCUUUCCCUCUCCUCACACUUUGUAAGCUAUCUGGCUUGUUCAAAACAUACUCCUUCAAUUCCUUGUCAUCCAUGGCUUCUAUCAUCGUAGUCUGUGUUCCAAAUGCGAUCGCAUCAACAGCAGUGAGUUAUGAUACAUAAAACAACGAACAAACUAGUUAGUUAUAGUGUUUGAAACUGAUUGAAUUAACCAAUGUAAAAAAACAUGGCAUAUUGAGUAGAAAAUCAUGAGUUAGGUUGAAAAUCUGAGUUGUUACAGAUGGACUUAUUACAAAUGCUAGUAUAAAUUUAUCUUGAAGAAUCCUAAAAUAAAAGGACAAGAGCUUCGGCAUGUUUAGUAUUGUUUACAUUUUGCAUUUGUUGCUCUUCAAGAUCUUUGCAAUAAACAUCUAACCAUGUAGUUAUAUUAUUUUGGUGAUGGUCUUGCUAUGUGAUCUUUAGAAGGAUUAAAAAAAUGUGCAGGAAUAAAGAAUAUUAUUACUGUAAUUUUGUCUUUUUAGUGUGCUAGAAGGCCAGAAAGUGUAGUUUGGAAAUUAUCUUACAAUAGCCAAAUUAAAGAGUUUAUUUCUUGUUGUUUUCCACCAAAAAGUCUUACCAGAACCAAAGAUAGAAACAGAAAAGGACAACGCCAAAUUUGAAUCUCUUCUUGUUUAUGAAGCAGGAUGGUUGAUUGACAGAAAAUAGAUAUUGCAUAGAUAUUAUAUUCUCACAGUAAACGACAUCUGAUUUAUUACCCAAGAGACGAACUCAUCUACUUCACUUCUGACGGUGGCUUCCUCCGCGUCGGCAAUCUUCUUCUGCUCCUGCCAAGAAAGGACUUCUGCCUCAGCAAUCUUCUUCUUCUUCUUCUUCGUCUUACUCUUUAACUCUUCUUCGGACAUUCUCGUGACCAAGAUAAAGUAUGAAAAACCAAAGGCACAAAUUGUGCAUGAUAUAAAUAAGUAUAGCCGAGAUGUAACGUCUGUUGAUUAGAAAGAAAAAAGGGAUGACUUUUCCCUAUUUUGCUGGUUUUGGGCUGCUAAAAAAAUUAUUUAACUGUCGAAUAGAUUAGGCUGUGGAGAACAUGUGAUUGCUACUUAUUUCUGCUUUUUAGGCUGCAUGUUUAUUGUUGGCCUAGGAUUUUAUAUACUCUGUUUAAGAAAUGCCUUGUUUAUUUAUUAAUAAAAAAAUACUAUAUCCACUUAUUUUCUACAAAGCAUUAUUUUUUCAGACUUAGUAAUCAGGUUCAUGGCAACCACACCCUCUUGGUAAGCACCUUCAUAAGGUGUUGUAGAUUUUCAGAAUCAUAUAAAAUAUUUUAUAUACUCUUCCGCACCACAUUUUAUCAAACAAAAAAACACAUAAAAAUUUUGUAGAAUACUUUUUAUAUUUAUCACGUGAAAUACAUUUUGUUCUUAUUCUGAGUCGACAAUUUUCUUCUUCUUCUUCUUAUUCUUUUAACCCUUCUUCGAACAUCUCAUAACCAAGGUGAAGUAUGAAAAACCAAAGGCACAAAUUGUGCAUGAUAUAAAAAAGUAUAGUCAAUCUGUAACGUUUGUGAAGUAUGAAGUAGAAAGGAAUGAUUUUUUUUCUGUUAUGCUAAUUUUAGGCUACUAAAAAAGUUAUUUAACUGUCGCAUAGAUUAGGCUGUGGAGAACAUGUGAUUGCUACUUGUUUCUACUUUUUAGGCUACAAGUUUGGUGUUGGCUUAGGAUUAUAUAUAUAUACUUUGUAUAAGAAGAGCAUUGUUUAUUUAUUAAUUAAAAAUACUUCACCAACAUAUUUUUUUACAAAAUAUUAUUUUUACAGAUUUAGUAAUCAGGUUUAUGGUCCCUCUUGAUAAACACCUCCAUAAGGUGUUGCAGAUUUUCAAAAUCAUAUAAAAUAUUUUAUAUGCUCUUCCAAACAAGUUUUAUGUGAAAAAAGCACUUACAUACAAAUUUUGUAGAAUACCAUUUAUAUUUAUCACGUGAAAUGCAUUAGGAGCCACCUAGAAGCCGUCCUACAAUAUUUUUUUUUCUCCAAGAAAUUCCGCAAGCCUGUGACUUUUGCUACCGACUUUAGCAAGGUGAAGCACACUUAAACGAGCUAAAGUCUGCAAGACAUCUUGUAUCGGUGCCGACUUUGCCGGCCACUCUGCAAAUCAUCAUGCACCAUCACCGACUUCAGUGGGAGUGCCGCUAUCAACCUCUAUUGAUCUAAAAGGACGUAGGGUCUGUUUGGCUUAACUUUUAAAAAAAAUAAUUUCUGAAAAAAAUAAUUUUAGUUUAGAGAAGUGUGAGUUUAGAUAAGAAUGAUUUUUCUAAAGUGAUUUUGAAAAGCUAUUUGGCAAAAAAAUUUUUUGAUGUUUGCGUAAAUUAAUAUUUUUAUUAAAUUUUAUUUUAAAAUAAUUUAAAAUCUAAAUUUAAAUUUGAAUUAAAAUUACAAUUUUUAAAUUUUAAAAUUAUACAAAAUUUAAAAUUUAAUAUUUUAAUUUAAAAAAUUUAAAAUAUAAAAUUUAAAAAUUUAAAAUAAUUAUGAAAUUUAAAAUACAAAAUUUAAAAUUUAAAAAUAUUAAAUAUAAAUUUAAAAAUAUAAAUAGUUAAUGAAAUUUAAAAUAUAAAAUUUUAAUAUUUAAAAAUAUAAAUAUAAAUUUUAAAUUUUAAAAUUAUAAUUAUAAAUUUAAAAUUUAAAAAUUAAAAUUUAAAAUCUUAAAUUUAAAAUUAAAAUUGAAUUCAAAAGUACUUUUUAAAAGUAAGGCCAAACACAACCUAGGGAAAAGAGGCGACCAAUAACUACUCCCAAUCUAUAAAAACAGAACGGAUCAAAUGUCUCUGCGCCUAAACCCCUCCCGCGUAUUCACCCUCCAUCGCCUCCGAUUCCCGCCUCUUCGUCUCCUCCCACAAAAACCCCUCCAUUUACCCUCGAGGCGACACCUAGGGUUUCGAUCUCCUCCUAUCUACGUACGCGUCGCGGGCGCCGCUCGAUCCUCGGAGUCCCCUCGCUCUGUGAGAGGCGAUCUAGGGUUUCGUCCCCGAUCACUCUGCGGCUGCGGCCACGGCCUCGCUCGAUCCAUGGAGGCCGCUCACGCGGUGAGGGAUCGGAUCGAUCUCACGGAGAAGGAGGAGAAGAUCUUCGGGCGCCUGCUCGAUGUGGUUCGCCAUUUCAAGCUGGAGACCCAGCUGCGUGUCGCCGGAGGUUGGGUUCGAGAUAAGGUUCGGAUUCUUCACUCUUAAUCCUUUCCCUUUUGCAUUCGCUUUUUUUUUUCGCUUAUUUGAUUCUAGAAAUGAUCUUUUGAUGAUGCAAUUCGAUUACUCAAGAGUUUGGUUUGAUUAUUUCUUCCCCUACAGCUUUUGGGAAAAGAUUGUUAUGAUAUAGAUAUCGCCUUGGACAACAUGUUGGGCCGAGAUUUCUGUGAAAAAGUUAAUGAGUACCUCAAAUUUGUAGGCGAAGAACAACAAGGAAUUGGUGUUAUACAGUGGUAUGCCAUUUUUCUCCUGCUGUUCUUUUUGAUCUGAAUGGAUUAUGCACAUCACAAUGUAUCUGUUAUCGUGUACUUGCUAUAUGAAAUAUACAUAUUUUUCUAUAUUAAGGAAUCAAUAAACCUGAUACGUUUUGAAGUAAUAGGUGCCGAUUUAUAUUAUUCAUGCAGUGUUGCAGCCGGUGGCCAUGGCAUAUCAUUAUUAGCGUUUCAAAUUUAACUUGUCUUGAACAAACAUUUACGAUAACCCAUGGUGCAGAAUAAAAUGCCCGUGAAUAAUUUUCUUCUUUAUAUGCAUAUGAGCUUAAAAGUGAAUAUUUGGUCUCUUGACAUUUUCAAAUUAUGAUUUUUGAUGUGAUGCUUAUUUCUUUGCUGCAGCAACCCAGAUCAAUCUAAGCACUUGGAAACCGCUAGGAUGCGCAUCUGUGACACUUGGAUCGAUUUUGUGAACUUGAGAUCUGAAACCUAUGCUGAGAACAGUCGCAUCCCGACCAUGGUAUUCAAAAGUCUUAGAUUUUCUUUUUAUUUUAAUAUCUUAGAUUUCUUAAAUUCUGCAUUAUUUUAUGUGCCUUUUAUUAUGUUUCAUCUCUGUUAGGAUGUGUUCCAUUGUGCGGUAAAGCAUUUUAUCAAAACAGAAUUUUUUUAAUUGAUUUACUGUCUGUUUAGAAAUUCGGAACUGCUGAAGAAGAUGCAUAUCGAAGGGAUCUAACCAUCAACAGGUAAUAAACUGUAAGCUAAAAGGAAGUCCUGUUUCAAUGUUAUGCGGUGAUAUUUUUAAAAAGGGGGAAAAAAACUGUUGGCAUCAUGAGAAAAAUAAUAUGUUUAGACCAUGCUAGAAUGGUAAGAAUAUAUCUUACUAGAACUUCCUUCUUAUAGGUAGUACAUUUCAUGUUACUUUUAAGUGGAAAUAAGUCGUUUCUCCCAUUCAAAUUUCAAAGCAACCUUAAUUUUGGUUUCAGUUGAGUUUCAGUUUUGUUGUCUUAGUAGUUUUUUGUCUCUAUCCAGAUGUCAUUACAAAAAUUUCCAUGUUUCUUAGAAACAUGCAAUACAUAUGGAUAAUGACUAUUGAGGCGUUGCAGAGCUGCCUGAUACUUCUAACUCUUAACUAAACUUCCUAUUAAAAUGAUUCUCAACUGUCUCAUCAAGCUGUAACGUUCUGGUAAAAGAGGAUUAAGAUGACUGAUCUCCUAAGUUAUUUGAGGAUACACAGGCUCGAUCUACAUAGAAUCAGAUAAAGGCCAAAAUAAGUAUGUUGGCUAGCCGCCUUAAGUUUCUAUUUUAUUUUAUCUUUUUUAUGCUUGAUAGGAACAGUUCCAAUGUGCUUUUACUUUGUACUAAGGGAUGACUUUUCUCAUUUAUCCUUGAAAUUAUUGAUAUCCAUGUUCUUCGAGUCAUGCUUUCUUCUGACAGAAAGAUUCAGUAGUUUUCCCCUUCUAUACACUCAAAUUCAAGCAUUAUACACGAAGGCAAGCGGAAAUACGCUGCUAACAUUCUCUGCUCUCUAGUUCCCUCUUGCAAUAUAUUACAGUUCUAACUGUACUUAUUUUGUGUAAUCUUUAGCUACUAUUGCUAUUUAUGUAAUUCCGUUGCAACUGGUUCUGCUCAUGUUUUACCAUUGAAGUGUUCUCUUUUGACAGCCUUUUCUAUAAUAUCAACACUAAUUCAGUUGAAGAUGUAACUGGAAGAGGUUGGUUUUUCUCCUCUUCUUCUGUGUAAGUAGUCAAAUCUUGAUAACAUUUUUUUGGUCGGAGGUCCAGAAUUGCUCAUGACUUACUUAAUCUUAUUUAAUUCAGGCAUCCAAGAUCUGAAGUCCGGGCAUAUUGUUACUCCUUUGCCACCAAAAGCAACUUUUUUGGAUGAUCCCCUUAGGGUUCUUCGAGCAAUUCGAUUUGGUACUCUAGCAAGCAUCUUUAAAUUUUAAUUACUUUAUUAGAAGUAACUUUCAGCCAAUAUGCUAGCUACUGUUGUAAGUUAUUGGACUGUUCUGGUAACUUUUUUGAGUUUUUUUAGUCACUUCAAUCUGAAAAAGUUGAUGAUAAAUAAUAUACAUUAAUUAUUGGUAAGGAACAAACAUUUAGUUCAACGAUAUGCUUAAAAUAAAUAAUAUAUCUUUUGACUUUUCAUCAAAAACUUAAAUUAUCAUGAUACCUUUUUCUUUGUAAUAAUGAAUACGAUGUUGUGUUUACAACAUAUUAUUUUCCAAUUGAUGAUCUUAAUAAGAUGCCAUAUCUCAUAUGAUAUUUGAUAUUAUACAUUUGGUACAUGUCACAGUUCAACCCCUGUUAAAUUUUCAACCUCGAUCCUCUCUUUUCGUCUGUCCAAUAAGCUGUUUGGUUUUGUGUACAGUGAGUAGUUAUUGUCCAUCGUUAGGAUUGUCAGACUAUAAUUCUUUUGACAGCGGGAUGAUAGUGAGAUUGAAGUACUUAAAUUUGAUUAGUGCAAAAAGUUUUCACUGAUCUGAUUAUUCAUCCAUCUGUUUCUAAAUAAAAGACUUCAUGUGUAAAUAGACUUUGUAUAAGACUAACCUGUAUAUACGGUAAGUUCUGAUUCCACUCUUAAUGCUGUUAGGUGCUAGGUUUGAUUUUGAAUUGGCUGAAGAGUUGAAAGAAGCUGCUUCUGACGAGGAAGUAAAAACUGCACUUGCAAAUAAGAUCAGCAGAGAGCGGAUUGGACAUGAGGUAUUUUCCUUUUCUGUUUUCUCUUCCCAUAUCAAAUUUUCUGUAGCACAUAAUUUUUUCCCCAAUAGAUAUAGAUUUAGAGAUUUAGCUAUAUGUAUCUUUUUUCUUUUCUUUUGUUUUUUUAACUUUUUUCUCUUUUUUCGCUUAACUUGAUAGUGAAUGCUUCAUGGUAUUUAUGCACAGGUUGAUCUGAUGAUGUCUGACAAGCAACCUGCUAAAGCAAUGGCAUACAUUCAUGAUUUGAAAUUAUUUUAUGUUGUAUUUACUUUCCCAGAAAAUCCACAGCCUGCAGUUACCGAGCAAUGUGACAGGUUUUCCUUUAACUUCUGUUACUUUUUAAGGCAUGCAAUGAAUGAAUAUUUCACUUGAUAUCAUCAGAAGUGGUUGAAGAAAAUUCAUUAGGUUAGCUUAUAGAUAGCUAUCUGUUCUUCUCCUUGUGGAGAGCAUGAUCAAUGCAUUUUGAGAGCAUAGUUAACAUUCCUUCUUAUCUAAAAAUGUAUAGGCCUUGAAAUUUAAUAUUUGAUCUUUGUGAGAUUGCUCUGACAUGUUUCUUGUUCAUAUAGGCCUUGCAUUGAAAUGUUAGUGGUUGGAUACAUUUGAUGUAUGAGUUAAUAGCUUGUGCAAAAGGCUGAAAGCACAUGGUUUUCUCAAAGAGUUACAUAAUUAUUGCAUUUUUUCUUAAAGAGUUAUCACAUUAUGCAGGUAUUGUAUAUUACAUAUAAAUGCAGCAUGGACCCUUCUACAAUCUAUUGGCUACUCGAUAUUUAGUGUAAGUCAUUUAUUAGCUGCUGAUAUCCCAAAAUUUUAUUUUCAUUUUCUAGAGCACAUAUUGUAGAAACGACAUCAUUCUACAUUCUUAGAUACAAUCCAUGCAGUCUUAUUAUGAUUGCAUACUAUGCUUUCCUUAUACAUAUUUUUACUCGUUCUCAGGAUGAACAGCGCAGGCUUUACUUGUAUGCAUCUUUAUUUCUUCCUGUGAGAAGUACGAUAUACAUUGACAAAAAAUCAAAACAGGUAAUUUGUCCGUCUUGUUAUGUUAAUAUCAUUUUCCUUUUCAUAUAAGCGAAUUGUACUUAUAUUUUCUCUACUGAGAUGAAAAUGUUGUUCAUGUUUCAUGCUUCCCUCUUCAGCGUAAAAAUUAGUUACUCUCUAUACCUUUGAAAAAGGCUAUGACCUUUGUCUUAAAUAAUCCAAACAAUACUUCUGUUGGUAUUGUACAUAUAUCAACCAUUGAAUGAGCUGGCAAUACAUUUGGUUUGUGAUGAGAAGAGAAGAUAAGUGGGAGUAGGGCUAGAGGGUGAAUGUUUAACAAUAACAUAAGACAUGUUGUUUUGCGAUAACUUUGUUAUUUAUAGAUGGACUUCAGAGGUCACCUUUGUUUGUCCAUGCUUGCUUUGUAUUUGAACACUUCAAUUUUCCUUUGUUCCACUAAAGAGUUGGAAAAAUUAAAUAGAUCUAUUUGCUAUAGUGAUGAUGAUUGGUUAUCUAUACCAUUUUGAUUUUGGUAAUACCUGCUCGACCAGACCACAAUUAUAUUUUGUCCGUUAGUCAGACACUUGUUAUGAGACUUACGAGUCAUAAACUUUGCAGGUUCCUGUUGCGAGUUACAUCAUUCGAGAUUCUCUAAAACUGAAAGCUAGUGAUGCUGAAAUGGUAUGUCAACCCCUAAGAAAGCUUUUGUGAAGUUUGCCAAGGGGAGGCUUCUUCUAUGCUCUUUACCCAAUUUUACUCCGUUGGUUCAUCAUCAAUUCUAAUCUUUUUUUCCUUUCAUUUUGACGUGUCAUCUACUUGUAGGUAACAAACUUACACGCGGCCUGUGAGAAGUUUGUUGAUCUAAUCCCUUUUCUGGAGUCAAAUGAGGAUUCAGAAGAUCUUAGAGUAAAGCUAGAAGAUGAAUACCUCGAGAUACCACCAGCUUCGACCAAACGAGUUUUGGCAGGUUGAGGGCGGUUUUUUGUUGUUUAUUUGAAGUUUUUGUGUUCUAUCUUAUUGGCCACUCCCAUACGAAAAUUUCUGGUUCUGUUAAUAGAUUUCUUACUUUAAGAAUUUGGCAAUAUUAAAUGAUCUACACACUACAAGUAGGAAAAGAAUCUGCUACUGUUUCUCUAUGCUAAUUGAAUGCCAAUAUAACAUGAUAACGACUCACUCGCAUAGACUGAGCCUGCACACUUUCUUGGCUAGUCAAGCAGAAACAAAUAUCCAAAAGCUUACUACGCUGAUUUGUUUGGCUUUUGUGCACUGUCGUAUAUAUAUUAUUGUCUUUUUAUAUUGCAUGUAAUUAUUUUAUGAAGCAAAAUAGUAAUGUGUGCGCUUCUGUUGGCAAUUCUUGUCGGAUAUGUCUGUUACCAUCCAUUUUUCAUGCUAUGGUUAUAUUAGGCUUGAUUCAAAUACUCACAAUGUUGAGAAUGGACUGAACAGGGUUGCUGCUUCGUCAAAUAAAAGACUUUUGGCGCGUUGCUUUGUUAAUUUCCACUCUACUACACCCUAAGGCAAGUCAUACCUGUGAUACUCUCAACAGUCACACUGAACUGGACAGAAGAAGAGAAAUAUUUGGAAAAUUUGAGAGCGCAAUAACUCAACUUGGUAAUUAAUUUUUCUGAUACUUUUUAUCUAUAAUCAUUUGUGCUGAUUAUUAUUAUUAUUUUUGUAAUUAUUUGUGCUGAGUUGCCAUUUGUAGAUGAUAGUUUGUGGGAAACUAUUCGUUGUUUCUUUCUUUGCAUGUUCAGGGAGUUGAUUCCUUUUAUUUCUUUUGCUUCCUCUUUAAAUAAGUCACUAUUGUGUUCGCUCGCUACCAAUUAUUUCUUUGGUUGAUUUGUUUAGAUCUCGACCACGUGUGGAAAAUGAAGUUAUUGCUUGACGGGAAGGCAAUGAUGGGAGUUCUACAGCUUAAAUCGGGAGGGCCAUCAAUUGGGAAAUGGGUAAAACAAGUUACUGUUAUGUUAGAAGCUGAUAUGAGCUUUUCUAUCUGCUUACAAUUAUUAAUGCUUGUUUGCAGCAACGAAGGCUGCUAAAGUGGCAGCUUGCCCAUCCAAAUGGAACAACGGAAGAGUGCAUUGAUUGGAUAAAGCAAUCUCAAGCGAAACGCCAGAAAAUAGAUUGUUCCGCUUGAACAUGUUCCCCUUUGCAGCUUGUCUUCUGCCUACUUCUAACUUGUCUUCGCCCUAAUUUAUCCAAUCAAAAUCGCCAGCAAUCUUGUGGAGUAUUUACAAAAGCAUGACUUGAUUUGCGCAUCAACGAGUGGCAUGAAGCAACAGUAUUUUUGCUAGAGAGCUAAGUUUGCAGCUAGGAGAUUGCAACCAUCAUCCUCAUCUUGCGUGUUUUUUUUGUUUUUUUGUUUUUUUUUGUGGGGUGGAUUGGGGGAGAGGGGAAGGGGGAGUUUUGACAAACUUAUAUUAGUAUAUGAUCGUUCUUUUGUAAUACCUAUGGUUUCUAACGGAGUUUGUAGUUGAAUUCAGAAAUUGCGCAGGCUCUUUUUUUUCCUCUUAUUUUUUCUGAUAUGAAAAUUAAAUUGGGCCAGUGUAACUUGUAAUACCUAUGGUUUCUAACGGAGUUUGUAGUUGAAUUCAGAAAUUGCGCAGGCUCUUUUUUUUUCUCUUAUUUUUUCUGAUAUGAAAAUUAAAUUGGGCCAGUGUAACUUUAGAUACAAAUCGUUCUCUCUAGACACAUAAAUCACAUUGACGACAUUAUAAUACCUCAACAAGGAAUUUAUCUAGAUUAUGAAUUAUUUUGAACUAGCACAUGACUAUGUGGACGAUAAUUUAUAUGCUCUAAUAAGUGAUAAUACAGCAACCUGCAAAAUGAUAUGGUAGAUCAAAUUCUAGCACCAAGAGCAAAUUUGAAAGAGAACAAAAAGCAGCAGGACGAGAAAGAAGCACAAAAAGAGAAUUACAGCACCAGCCAAAAAGAGAAUAGAGGACUAUGUGGCAAAUACUUAAAUGCUAACCCAUCCAUAUGGUAUAAGAUUUUCCGUCAACAAAUUAAGAGAGUAUACAAGUUCAACUAGCACAUGACAACAUGGCUUGCUAGGAAAAGGAGGAAGAUCAACAAUUCAAAGAAGUUCAAUGAACUUGAACGGAUACAAACGCGAAAAACCUCUACAUGUACAUAUCCACAAUGUCAGACGCAUAUAUAUCUACAUAUAUAUAAGUAGAAGGAAACAAACAUCAAGCAUUUAUUCUGCAUUUAUUUAUUUGUAAAAAAUUAUGGACUUUGCAUUUUCAUCUGGAGAAGUUGUUAUCUGUGAAAGUUCUGUAAUUUUCAUGGCUUAAUAGUUCUGUGUUCCCACUUUCCAGUAGCUAGGAUCAAUGUCAUUUAAGAUCUUUAGUGUUCUUUUGAACUUCGAUAAGAUUUACCAAUAGUGGGACAAGGGGAUUGCCCGGUGAAUCAAGCUGCAAAAGCCAACCUUUUUACCUAGGAACAUUUAGAAUUAGAUUUUAAAUAUAUGAUGCUACUAUGUUUCAACAAACAACUGCAGUAUACAUUUGAUGAACGCAUAAAUGAUCAAAUUUUGGACAGCACUAAAAAAGAAAAGAAAAAGAAAAAACUGAUACAAAUAGAUAUAUAUCUUUGAUGAAGUAACUUCAAUCUGAGAAAGAAGAGGUAAUGUGAAAUUCGAACUAGUGUUGCGAUCGAUCAAUCAAUCAAUCUGGUUUUUGAUUUGGAGCACAAGCAAGUAGAAUGCAGCGAAAGCCUGCCUACCUGUGAUUUUAGAUCCGAGUGCAGGAAGGAUCGAAGUCAUCGGGAGCGACUCUGGCGAUCCAACUGCUGAGGGUCUUCUUGAUCUCGCCGUGAUUGACGUAGGCGAGCUCGUACAUGCUGCAGAGGUUGACGAUGAGCGUCUCGUUCACGGCCGCCGUGGGGACGCUCUCGAGCGCGCCCUCGAGCACCUUGAUGGAAUCGGAUAGAUCGCGCGAGUACAUGAGGCAGAGCGCCUUGUUGUUCACCGCCACCACGUCGGCGGGGUCCCUCUCGAUGCACGCCUCGUACUCCCUCACCGCCGAGGCGAAGUCCUUGGCGACCACGAACCCUAGCGCCCUGUUCCUCCCCAGGAGGUUCUCGAACCCCGGAUCGCCCCGCCGCGCGUCCCGCAUCUCCUCCACGCGCGCGAAGGAGGCGCGGGCGCCGUCGAGGUCGCCGAUCUGGAGCUGGACGUAGCCGAGGCGGGAGAGGAGCGCCGGAUCGGCGGGGUCCCGCUCGAGGAGGCCGCGGAUGAGCGCGAGGGCGACGUCGAACUCGCGGUGGGUGAAGUGGUUGGCGCAGAGCGCGGCCAUGACCUGCGCCUCGCGGCGGCGCCACUGGUCGGCGGAUCCGGCGCUCCGGUGGGGGAUCCUGGAGCGGACGAGGUCGAGGAGGGAGUAGAGGCGGUCGAGGGUUUGGGGGCGGUCGCCGAGGCGCUGGGGGAGCUCGGCGUGGAGGAGGCGGAGGGCGAAGGGGACGAAGGAGCCGGAUCGGGAAGGGUAGUGGUCGGGGUAGGAUUCGAAGCGGAAGCGGGGGGAGUCGAAGGGGUCGGAGGAGUCGGGGGAGGAGAGGAGGGGGUCGAGGGCGGCGGCGGCGUCGGAGAAGCGGCGGAGCUUGAAGAGGGAGAGGGCGGUGAGGGAGGAGAGGAGGAGGCGAUGGUGGGGGAGGAGCGAGGGGAGGGAGCGGGAGCGGGAGAGACGGUCGGAGAGAGAGCGCCAUUGGCCGCGGGAGGCGAGGUCGACGAGCGCGUCCAGGUCGGGGAGGAGCUCCGACGACGAGAGCGGCUCCCCGGUGGCCGGAGACGCGGUCGGCGUCGCGGUGGCAGCGCCCUCGGGAUCCAUCGCGUUGGGGAGUUACAGGUGAUCGAAAGGAGAGGCGGUUUUUCGAGAGUAAAUGGGUGCUCGUAAUGGGCCGACAGAAGGGAGAGGGCACUUGUACUGGGCCUUUACUUUUGUUUAUAAAUGGGCCUUGUUGGGCAUACCAGUCUUGGUCCACUGAGCCAUUCGUGCAAUCCGUGCAUACCAGUCUAGGUACCGAUAAGACAAUUUGGUCGAAACAAUUUUUGUUUUUAAAAACUGCGGUCUUGUAAACUUUCAUGAAGUCGGGUGACAGUGGCGUUUCAUUCUUCUUUUAGCCGGCCCAGACUCGGCCGGCCUGAGAAAAUAAAUCUUUCAGAUCCGAAUCUAUCCGAAUUGACAACGUGACUCAAAAAAACAAAUUUCUGGAAGGCGCGCAAACAGAGGGUUCCCAGCUUCUAUAGUUUGGGCCUCUAAUUCCCAGGCCCGGUUCAACAUUGUGAGUUAGGAUGGAUCUAACCCGUCCUGCAAAAAAAUCAAUCGGGUCGGGUGAUUUUGCUCAGGUCUCUCCAUGUAUUAAUUCUUCUUCGGCAUCAGCAGAAUUUGCAAUGGCUGUUAAUAAUAAAAAGCUAUAAAGCGGCAACUGUUUGAUGGCAAAGCUUGGAGGGAGUCUACGGAUUUUAGAAAUUCUUCUCAGACCAAAGUAUGACUAAUGGCAUCUAUAUUCUUCACAAAAAAAAAAAAAAAAAAAAAAAAAAAAAAAAAACAAAUGCAAUUUUAUAAUUCUCUUUGGCAUGAACAAAAUAAAUGGCCAAAUAAAAUUACUAUGAGCUCAACGUCAAUGACGUUCGCAUUUGAAUUUCAUAAAAAAAAACAAAGUUCCUGUUACAAUGAGAACAAGAAAAAUAAAAUAAACCAACUGCUUUUUCACGCCAACCUUAUUUCCUUGUAAUUCACCCAAUGAUAUAAUAUAUAUCGUAUUUUACAGACAAUAUAUUCCUACAAAGAUGACACCAGCUAAACUAAACAAACCUUCCCAAUUUGGGAAGGAAAUGGCUCAAAUAAUGGUAUGAGAAUACGCACUACCUUUCGAUCUGGUGGUGCUUCACACCCAAAUCAAAAUGAGGCUGACCUUUUCAGUACAGGCUUCAUCGCCUUGUCCUCUUCAAGGGAGACCAUUCCCAGAUUAGAAGGAUCUUCGAGCAUCAUCUUGGCCACCAAAUAGCCCGCGAUAGACCAAGUUUGGAACUUCCGUGCUUGUUUGCCGAUGUACCGACCUAGCUUCCCGUCGUAGUACUCCGGCCAACUGUCCUUUAAAAGACGAGUUUCAGCUACUUCAAUAGCUCGUCUGGCUAUUUGUACACGGCCUGUCUUGAUACAUGCUGCAGUGAGCAGCCAUAGAAGAACUGCAGAGAGAAGUGAGGAGAUGGGGAGUGUAAUUGUGGCGUUAGAGUUAGUAACAAGUCAAAACAUCAUGUAGAAAUAGGAAGUAAUGAAGUCAUUAGGGCAUCCAAUGAAAGGUCUUGCUUCCAAAGAUUUCAUAAAUUUAUUAUAUUAGCUUCCCACAUAAAAUGCAGAUAGGAGUUCAGAGAAACGGAGAAAAUACUAUAAGCAACUUAUGAUUUUGGCAAUGCAAAUGCGUCAGACCUAAUCGCUAUUGACAAUAGCAGACCUGACAAGGUUUAAUGUAUCCGUUCUAUCAACGAUAGAAGUCAGCCUAUUCGUAUCAAUGUCCUUACUGAAAAGAGAAUACACAGCAAUACUAAUUUGAAGCUCUUUGAAGGUGGAAAUUGUGGUCAGUCGACUGAGUGCCAUCCAAGUACUGCAGUAAUGUUGAAUCCAUAUGCUACAUUGAGGCAAUUUCCUCAUAAAUGAGUGCAGCAUAGUAAGUGGAUUUACACCAAUUUCUAGAGGAUUAGUGUGAAGUAGAUGGAUUGCAUAAAGAAUAUUUCAGUUCCUUUAUUAAAGCCAUGUCAAUGCAAGUUACAAGAAACCAGAAAAUGCUGGGAGAAGAGAUAGAUGAUUAUUUGACAGAAUAGGGAUGAUUGUUCUGUGUAAAAUCAUGGUAUGUUUGAGCGUCUGCAGGAAAGAUAGAUACUAUUCUGCAACUUGAAUUUCAUGGCUUUGUUGCUAAGUAUUUUCUCAACGCCAAUUUUGAAAACAAAUUUGCUACUGGAAAAAUGAAAACACUUCAUUUUUUUCUGGUUUUUUUUAACCAUAGAAUGUAAAGUUGCGGUUACCAGUGGAGAGUGUAUGAUAAAAUUCAACAAGAAAACCUAUCGGAGUGGAUAUACUAACCUGGCCAAGAUCCUCCAUUAUGGUAACUCCAUCUGGUAUUUUUAGGGUCACAGCCUGUCACAAUGCGCCACUCGUGGCUCUCAAUAGCAGGAUAACAAAUCUUCAAAGGCAUCUCCCCGACUAGCUCCUCCCACCUUUCUUCAAUCAGAUCCAUUAUAGCCAUAGAUUGCUCCGGGGUAGCAAGAGAUGAUAGUAUGGCUAUACAAUUACCAAGAGCAAACCACCGGAAAUCCAUCCGUGCUGGACUAACAUUUCCAAUAAAGUAACCACCACGGGAGGGCAUAAAAUCGAAUAUCCAAUCUGGUAUAGAGUCGGGAAUAACAUUAAAUUUAUUGACUGCAGUGUGAGAAUAUUCCUCUGUUUUGUAGCGGUAUAUCACAUUUAGCUGCUGGAAAUCGAUCCAGAAGUAACUUCUCAUGUGGUAACUUAAGGCAUGCAAGCGUUGCACUAUUCGCUCUAUAAACUCCUUCCCUUCAUUAUCAGGUUUAAGCAUUGAUAAAGCACAUCUCAGUGCCAUGAAGAAGAGGGCUUGGAUUUCAAUCGGAUAGCCGUAAACACCCUGCGGAAAGCGUAGCAAGCAUGAAAGAGUUAAAUAUGGAUUGAUAGUUUCAAUCAUAUAAAAGGACGUAAGGAAAUCAUCAGCUCUAAUGUUUUUUUUUUUUUUUGAAUUUAAGGAUGUACAGAGUGGUUCCCUACACCCAAACUUUAGUAACACAACUCUAAUGAUAUUAACAAGAGUAAACAAUUUGAUUAUUAAAACCGAGAACUGCACUAUAGCAGAUGUUAUCAUUCGAUAAGCAAUGAGUAAUGAAGAUGUUUUCCGCAGAAAGUAAAGUUUUGAGCAAAUAAAUAACGAACCCAUCCAGACACCAUGUGGACCCCAUAACCUAUAUAUCUAACCAAAAGAUGCCAAAGACGAGAUCAAUUGGAAUAAGAGUAAAUUUGGAAUAUGGAGAACUAAUGUAAAACUUCUAGUUAUUAAGCAUAUAGACACAAAAGAAGUUUUGCUUAUAGUAAGUUACAAAUAAAUCUGGUUUCUCCUAUGAUACUAAAAAUCAGAUCUGAAUUCACUAGUAAAAUAGUCAAACCACAAAAGUUAGCAAAUUAUAUUAAAAAGGAAAAUGUAACAAAUCAGAAAAUGUAUAACAAAAACGACUGUAGCAAAGUCGAAACAUACAAAUCUAAAAGCAAAAGUGAAGCAAGAUAAUGAUUCACGUACCAUACGACGGUCUAUCAUUGAGCAACCAUCUGCGCAGAGCAAAGUUGGGAAAGUGUCAAACCCCUCAGCUAAACAAAGAGCUAAUAUUAACUUCAUCCCCUUUUGGCACUCAGGUGUUUCCGCCAGGGACACAUCUCCCGUGGAUCUUGUAUAGGCGCGAAGAAGAAUAAUCCACCAAAAUCCAGAGUCCACUGGUGCAACCCUUCCAAUUGCACUCUCCCCGAAAUCCGCGACUAUUGUAUCGACCUGCCUAACAGGAUUAUGCUUAACCUUGAAGCUCGCAGGCAUGGCUCCUUCCCCGAGCUUGAAACGAUCUAUUUUCUUUUCCGAGCCUUGGAGCUGGACAGUUUUCAUGAGAAAAUUCUUAACUAUCUCAGGUUCACCAUUCAUUAGAAAGGCCAAGGCGCUCGGCACAAAAUCCCGCACAAACACCUGUAAAUUUAGAAGGAAAAUAUUGGAAAAAGUACAAUCAUUUCAUUUGAACAACUUUAACAAUCAAAGAUUUUGAAUCAGUUUUCUCAAGCAAGCACCAAGCAUAUCAAUCCAGCACUCUAAAACAAAAAGAAGCAUCAAGAGCUUACAGGUUUAUAAGUUUCCAUCCAUAAAAUUUUUUCCACACUAUUAGAUAACCGCAAGCACGCACGUAAUGAAGGACGCUUAGAAUGCUAUUAAAACAUCUAUACCUAUACGUAUACUUGAAAUCUCAUGCCUAAAUCCUAUAUGAUGCACCCCCUUAAUUUGAGGGAGGUGGGACCCUAAGCUUAUUUUUUUUCUUCUCUAAAAAACUGCAUUUAGUCUUUUUUUUUUUCUAAUGACUCUUCACUUUCCGUUGUAUUUACUGACAUUUACUUUCUUUCUUUUUUUUCAGCAUCCCUUGGCCUACCGUCCAUAAGACGUGAGAUCGGAGAGAUGUUGAAAUAAUUUACUUCUUAUAUAAAAUUCACUACCCACCUCUCCAUCUUCACCCAAGCUCAUCACUUUAGAGAAUUCUUCGUAAUUAAUUAAUUUCAAUGGACGCACUAGCUACCUAUCAUCUUUCUUCUUUACCAAAAUUUUUUAUUUAAUGAUUAAUUGAGGAAUUUGAUGAUGUUUACUCUUUCUCAUUAAAUCAGUAUAUAUAAAUAUAUAUAUAUAUAUAUUGUUGGUUUUAUAUUAUAUAUAUGAAAGAUGUAUAAUAUUUAUAGUUAAAUUUGUAUUGUAUAGUUAUACGAAGAAGGUGCUUCCCCCUCUUCUAAUGGCCCCCCGAGGAAGAGAAAUAUCGGUUAGGAUAUGGAGUUGCCGGAAAGGAAUUGAAGGCGCACGAAAUCGUCGGCAUCGGCAGAGGAUGCAUAGACGAGGGUGGGAGAGGGUCCGACAUCUAUGUAAUAAUUUUUCUUCUUUUAUAGUUCUUUCUAUCUUUCGUUAUUUUUUAUUGAAGUUUAAUUCCAUUCUAAAAGUUUUAAGGUAUUUUUCAUAUUAUUAAAUUUAAUCAAAUAUGAUUAUAUUCUACUUUUUCUUUUUUAUAUUCUACAUUUAUUUAUUUAACCUAUAAAUUUUUACUAAAAAACUUUUAUCCGCCGGAUCGCGCGGGUUGCUAUACUAGUUGAACCAUCAAUUUUGAUAAAUAAACACACAUUAAACAAACUCAAAUCAAGAUAAAAGCAUCGUCCAGGACACGACAUUAAAUGAUCCCAACAACCAUUUGCAUAAAUUAUAAAGAUCUAUUUAUUAACACGCGGGUGGCACUACUAUGGAUAUACCUGAUCGUAAUUAAGAACCUCCUCGGAUGCGUGAUCGUAAGCGGCGAUCGUCCCCAUCGGUUGUCCCCGGAAGUACACUAGAGAUCUCCGGAGGGCCUCCCACGCCUCUGCCACCAUGGGAUGGGGCUCGACCGAGUCCCGAGAGAUCGGCGUGUCCAACCCCGAUCGGAACCCUCCGGGGGAGUACAAGUUCUCGUAGCUGUCGACGGGCCUGAUGUUCCCAGCGAUCGAGAGCUCGCUCAUCGACCGCUCGUCGAACGACCUCUGCCUCUCGAUGUUGAGCCUCGGCUUGUCGAGAAGUCGCGAGAGAUCGAAGUCGUCGCCGUCUGAGAUGGAGGCGUGCGACGCGAUCUUCGUCAUUCCUCCAGUCUCGCGGCUCCCCUCCAUCCCCAGAGCUGCUUCCGGAAGCGCUUCUGAUGAUCCGGAAAAAGCGUAAGAUCUGGAUCAAAAGAUCAAAUCAAACUCGAAUCAAAUCGAGAAAAAAUCAUACUGGAAACGAGAUUUACGCCACGAAUUCCACACAGAGAGCUACAUUUCAUAAUCGAAUCAGCUAGAUCCAGCGAAAGAACGAAAGAACAUCCAGAUGUCCGCUAAAUCCAGCUAGAGAACAAAGGAUUAAGCCUCAGAUACCUCUGUUUCUAGUUAAACUGCUUCAAAAACGAUCGGAAACGCUAAAAAAUCGCAAAAUGGCCAAAAAACCAGAAAAAUUGAGAAGGACAACGAACCUCGGAGGUCGAAGGUAGAGUAAGAGGAGCUCCUCCGAAGAACUCUCCGGCGCGGAUCGCAAGAGGCUGGGAGAGAUCGAAGAGAAGUAGGAAGGGGGAGAGGGGCGCGAGGUUAGAGGAGGAGGAGAGGAGGAGAGGAGAAAAAAAGAGCAUGGUAGCGGAGGGAGGGGUAUUUAUAGAGGGGGUGAGGUGCGCGAUGGAGGGAGAAGCGAAAUAGAGAGGGAGGGAGAGAGAGAGAGAGAGAGAGAGAGAGAGAGAGACGGAAAUGGUCGUCGCCUCUCGCUCUAUCCGUUCUCUACCCCCUCUCCCCCGGCCCUGCUUUACCGUGUUGCAGAAGCGACCGGCUAUAGCCGGUAACCGCACGUGGGGGAACUGGGAAGAGCGGUGGGGAGGGUGAAGGCAACUUGCUGACGUGGACUUGGGACAAGGUCCGAAUCGUUUAUAACUGGCUCGUUAGCCGUUGAGUCGCCGCCCUAUUUGUCGGUUUAUGACCCUGUAUUUUGCACUUGUUAUGUUAAUUAAGUAAAUUAAUUAAGCAGAAAGGUUUUAAUAAACCUCUUUUUUUUUUCUUUUUUCUUUUUUUUGCUAAGAGGUUUUAAUAAACCUAAGAAGCUUAGGUAUCUUAAUCUUGAUUAGUUAAUGAUGAUUUUUAUAAGAUACACCUGGUGCGUGCACACAAGACAAACUAAAAUUUGAAACUCCCAAACCAUUUUAAUUACACUGGCCUAUAUUAUAUUUUUUAAAAUCCGUCUCGAAUCCGACCCUUUUACAUCUCUAAUAUGGAUGAAAAAAAAAUAAAAAAAACAAUAAAAAAUAAAGAGCGAUUUAAUAAUAUAGUAUUGGUAAAAUUACUAAAUUACUCACGUAUUAAAAUAAUAAAAUAUCUCUCUUUGGAUUAUCCGGUAACAAAUAUCUCUUUUAAAAUUAUAUGCUAUUUCAAGUCAUAAUUUAAAAAAAAAUAAAUUUGAGCCGUUGAAUAAAAUAAAUAAAUGAUAUUAAAAAAUAACAAAUAUAAAAGCACUACCGGUAAGCUAAUAGUUUGAUUAAAAAAUUACUAAUUGAAAUAACAUAAUGACUCGAUAAUUUUUUUUUAAAAAAAGUAAAAAUACUUGCCUAUGAUCUGUAUUUUAUUUAGUAUCUUCUAUAAAAUAUAUAAAAGUCAAUUUGAGAUUCUUAUUUGGGUGGGAAUAUUUCUGUAGGUAUUUUUUUUAACGGGAUAUACCUUAGGAUCUUCUGGUGAUAAUUAGCAAAAAAAAAAAUUUAUCUUAUUAUAUAUUAUUAAAUAAAUAUGUACUAAUUUUUUAAAAAAAUUGUGAGGGAGACAUAUAAAAUUGAUAUUUUUAAGUGCUUAUCAUGAUGAUCAAUGCACGAGUAACAAUUAAAAAAUUUAUAUCGGGACGGAAAUCGAUAGGCAAUAACAAUAAGCACAAUUGCACAUAAAGUAUUACAAAGCAUGUUUUGAAUAGUCAACGCUUGACCAUUACUUUAAACUCUGUUAAGAAUAAUAACCAUAUAUUAAUUUUUAAUAAUGGUUUGUAUAUAAGGAGUGAGAAUAUUUUUGCCGAUCAGAUUAUUUUUGAUUUAAACUCAUGAACAAAUUAAACAUUAACUUUUACAAUAUUUUGUUCAAAUUCAAAAAAAAAUCUCUUAUUGAUUUUGAAAUGGACAACAUAAGUUUUACUAUUGUCAGAAUAGUCCAGUAUCCAUUUUGUAGAACAGAGUCUUUGUUUUUUUACAUCCUUUUAGACGAGAGAAAUUUCAAAUUGAUGAUCGGAACUGUUAAAGUUGAUUUAAAUUAUUUAUAAUGUCUAGAAACUAAAUUUUAUAAAUAUAAAAUUCGUUACCAAAUUUAUUAAAGAGUCGAAAAAUAAACAGUAAAAAAUAAAUAAACUUGUAAAAAUAAAUCUUAGACUUUCUCAAUUUAUGAUUGUAGUUCUCAAACGUUAUCUAAAUAAAAUAAAAAAAAAUUAUCAAAAAUUCAAACUGUUUAGAUUGCUCUUCAUUAUUAAACAAGCAAAUGACUCUUUAAUAAAUUUGGUAACGAUUUCAGUCAUCGAUUUGAAAUCGCUAUUAUCUAGAAUGACUUAAAAGAGAAUAAAAGUUUCCAUCAUCCUAAAAGAAUAAUUGUUGAAUUUUAUAUAUAUAUAUAUAUAUAUAUAUAUAUAUAUAUAUUCGAAUUAUGGUAAGAUAUUUUUUUUUUGAGAAAUAGAUAGCAAGCUAUCUGUUUAAUUCAUUAAGCAAAAUAAAUUAGGCGUAUAUGAUGGAAGCAGCUAGGGCCUCCUAACCGAGCCGGCAAACCUAGGAAAAAUAAAAAAAACCAAGAACGACAAGUCCGUAAAAGGGAAAAAGUAAAAGAAAGCAAACGAAGGAAAACUAAAUAAACAUGGGUAAAUAAUGAAGGAAUUUAACCGAGAAUUAUGGUAAGAUUUAGUACGACAACAUCACUUUCCGCAGAUUUUCAAUUACUUGUUUUCCGUUGAAUCCCUAAAAAGCACCUUCCCAAGCUUUAAACGGGGUGGGAACUUAUAAAUGAGGAAUUGAAUUAUAUUUAUUUUUAUUAAUUAAGCAACCAAUAAGGCUAAAAGGUGACAUCAAAGGAAAGGUUUCAAGUGAUUUUUAAUUGAAAGAGGAACGUGGGAUAAUAGUUGCAUGCUCAAUCAAUUAUUAAAUCGUAAAUUUCAGAAAAAAUAAGGCCUAAUCUUAAUCAUUCUCCUUUAUCAUGUGCAUUUUAUUUUAUUCCAAAAAAGUUUCCCCUCAUUAACAUUCACCUAAUAUAUUUUGUAACGGGGCAAUAUUAAUUCCUCUUUUGUGUACUAUCUCAUUCUCUAUUUCUAUUGUUUCUCUUUUUCUACUUUUGUUAUUUUCUUCCUGCUACCUAUUUAUCCUUACCCACUAUUGAUUAUAUUUUUUUUUUCCUUUUUGGUUGAUGUUAAAAAUAGAAUUACUUUUAUAUAUACUAUUCCAUCAAGUAGUUGUACCUUCUUAGGUUACAAAUUAUUUUAUUAUUCAACAGGUAUCUCUUAAAAUAAUUUAAAAACUAUGCUUAAAUAAAAUAAUUUCCAAGCAGAACUUGUUUUCUAAAUAAUCUUGGAUUAUUAAUUAAUCCUUUGACUUUAAAAUUGAGGAUUCAGGUACUAAGCCAUAAACAACUCCCAACUAAAAGGACUCGAAGCUAUUUAGGCUAAGCAUCAAAUUAUUAGCCAACUAAUUCUAACCCUCCCGCGAAUUAUUAUAUCCCGUCUUAAAUGCAUAUAACUCAGUUGCAAAUAACUACAAAUUUUCAAAUGCACACGAAUUUCAAAGCAGCAAAUUAUCGCGGAAAUGCUCAGAACUUUUCCCCGAAUUAUCCAGUCUCCAAAAUCACAUAACUUCGUUGGAAUAGCGACAAUUUCCUUGGAUAUUCAAUCCCCCCGAAUAAGCACGAAUCUCAACGCCCCCGAAGCCCUUUUCCGCGAAACCGUAGGAUCUAAUCAAGCGCGUUGCUCCCACCCACCGCCCGUUUCCCAACGACGUGGAGCACGAGAAGCACGUGCGCUCGUCGGCUACGAAACGAGUCCUCGGGCGCCAACUCAUUGGGCCCACGUGGCUUCUUCUGAUUGGUCCCAGAACCUCACGCCACGUCGGAUAUGGUGUUAUGCCUUAUCUAAAAAUCAACGGUCCAGUUGUAACGUUGCUGUCGCUUCACCGUUCAUAUUCACCGUCCGAUCACUAGGUUGGUAGCCGUUGGACCCAUCGAAGGGCCCCAUUUUAGCGGAGUGGGCCCCACCUUGCAAAUGCUUCCCAGUUGCCCAAGCUGGGUUUGACCUCUGACCACGCUCGCCGGUCGUAUUCUUACCUCCUUCUUCUUCUUCUUUUUUUCCUUAAUUUUUUAUGUUGUUUAUAUUAUAUUUUUAAGUUAAAAUUUAAAAAUAGCGUAAAGAAGCAUAGAGAACUUUAUUUAUACUUUAAAAAAUAUGUAGUAAUUCUUAAACCCACUGAUUAAAAAACUUAAAUCUAUUUAAAUUUUUAAUAAUAAAAAAUUAUACAAAUAAUAAAAAGUAUUCAUUUUUUAUGAAUAGAAUGUAAGAUUUGCAUUUAUGGCAAUGGCAUACAGAUAAUAUUGCUUAAAGUUAUAUAUCUAUUGUGAUUCUAAAUUAGUUAUAUUAAUCAUGAAAUUAUGGUGAUGGUAAAAUAAAAUGCCUAAUACUGUGAGCUUCAACGAGAAAUAUAUUUGGUUGAUCACAUGACAUUGGCAUGCUAAUAAUAGUAAAUAUAUUUGUCCACAGAUGAUUCAUUAAAACUAGGGCUUUUUUUAAUUUAGUCCUCCUACCAAAUUUAUAUUUGUACAUGUGGCAAUUUUAUUGCCACACGGUCUCAAAUUUGCAUUUUUUGUGCCACAAAGAUUCUUAUAUAAAAAAAUUUAAAAAAUAAGUUGGAUGAAAUGAAAUCAGCCUCAUUAAAUAUGGUGAAUGAAUCACAAUAUUCAAUUUUAGUCUAUUUUUUAAAACUUACAGACAAAAAAAUAAAAAAAGAACACGAUGACUUAACUAUCGUGUUUAAACAUGGCGAUUUAAAUUACCGUGUUCAAUUUAAAAUGCUACAUAGGUACUCACGUGGCAAGAAAAAGUCUAUUUAUAUAAAUAUAAAUUUAUUAAAAUUAUUUUAAAAAGAAUUGAAGGCACUAAAUGAAAAAAAAAAGUCCUCAAAGCUAAUUAAUUAUGCAUGUAGCAAAUUUCAAAUUGCUAACCUCUUGGUGAUUGCAUGUAUUUUUUGUUUUUCCUUUGAGGUCUGUUUUAUCUCGUCCUUUUAGCUUAGUUAAUUAUUCUCAAUGAAUAAAAUGGAUAGCGUGAAACUUAUUUUUCAAAAAAAAAACUCCAAGAUUCAUACGACAUUUAUGUCUUUGUCCUGCAAUUUUGCUCUGUUAUUUAUUUAUUUUUUUAACAAAAUAAACGACCAACAAAAAAUAAGAAAAAAAAACGGUGGGGCCCAGUAGGGCUUAGGUGUUUCUUGGGAACAAACACACACUAGAGCAAGCCGUCAACGUUGGCGCGUACCAACCAACUUGGGGUCCUUGGUGGAAUUUUUCCCUUGUGGGGCCCAGGAAGUCACGUGCUGGAGAUCCGGGGCUCGUAGCCACAUGCAGGAAAAAUUCUAGAAUGCAACGGGUAUAUUAGUGACGUGGCGUAACAAACCAAUCAAAUUAAUCCUUUUAAGAAUAUAUGUCCCAUCAUGAUUGUAAAAAAGUAUUUUUAUUGUACUUUUGUUUGAAAAGAAGGAAUGUGAUUGGCUUGUUAUUGAUGACGUGGUGCAAGUGUGACAGUGUAGAAUUCCUCCACAUGCAGAGACCCGCACGUGACUGCACGUCGGAGGCCCGUGAAUCAGACGAAGAUUCAGUGGCUUAUUUUAACUCAUUAAAAAAAGGAAAAUUAAUUCAACUUACUAUCGUUUUGUUUUUUCAAUAAUUUUAUAAAUUAAUUUUGUAUUAAUUAUUAUUAAGAACAUAUAAUUGAGACUCGUAAUUUGAUGCACGUAUUAGUUCUUUCACACAAAAAAGAAAUUUUUUUUUGGGUCUAAAAGGCUGUUAUAUCUUUUCAAGUAUAUUUCUCUAAAACAUUUUUGCUGAAAUUGAUUAGAAAUGAGAGUACUUUUAGGUACAAAAGUUUGAUCGAAAGAUAUUAUAAAUAGAUGAGAAAAAAAUGACAUUUGAAAUAAUUGAGAGAGACACAUUUAAUGAGUACGUAAAAUAGUCAUUUGAUAUAGAGUAGUCGAAUUAAACCAGCUAAAGAAACUAUCAGAAUUUGCUAAAUUUCUGAAAAAUUGAGAGGAUAGAUGUGCUAAUAUCAAGCUUACAUAAAUAAAAUAGAAAUUUUCUUUUGUGUAAUAAUAAAGGGUCUUCUACUCUAAUGCCAAGUUUAAUCAUGGAAAAUCAUUUAUGAGUUGCGAUCAAGAAAUAUCUUGCAAACAAAAAAGGGAAAAAAUAAAAAAAACCUUCUUAUCUUAAAGUACACUAGGCCCUGUGAGGUGGGCUCGUGUUGUAAGAGAGAGCGCGAGGCCCAUAUAUCAGCCCAAUAUUGAAAUGAUAAUCCCGAUUCAACUCAUCAUAAAGCCCACUAAGUGGUAGGCCCAAAAUCAUAUCCCCGGCGUAGCCAUUCGGAUUUAUUCGCGCCAAGAACUUUUGGACCUGAUAUUUUUUAAAAAAAUGGCCCAGCCUAAUAACGAUCCACUUCGAAGGCAAAUGAUCUGGUGAACCUAGUUCACCACGUCAGCAAGGGUCCUAUGGACCGUUCUCCGUUUUCAGUUCUCCGUCGAUGUCGACCUCCCUCUUUUUAAAAAAUCUCAGCGAGAGAGAGAGAUAGAGAGAGAGAGAGAGAGAGAGGGAGAGAUGGACGCACGUCCUUCAACCGUGAAAGCUGCGCCUAAACUAUAUCUUCUCGUGUAAGCUUCUCUCUGUGCUCCCUCUCCCCUCCUACAUAGAGUCCUCAUCUCUCUCUCUCUCUCUCUCUCUCUCUCUCUCUCUCUAUCUCUCUCAUGGAACCUGGCCAAUGCUCUGGCUCCAAGGAGGACGACGUCGCCUGGGCCAAACUCGGUACAAUCCCCUAUCUCCCUCUCUCUAUCUUCCCCUGUAGUCCGAGAUCUAGGGUUUUGGAAUUAUAGGGUUUUGAUCGCGAUUUUGUUAAUCUUGGCUACGCUGAAUGCAAUAAUUUGAAGUCGAAUUAGUUUGCGUAAUCUUACUUGAGGCGUUAUUUCUCGGCGGUGGCAGUGCCCGCCGACUCCAGGUACUCGGAAGUGUACAUCAGGUGCGGGGACGCGACGGUGUGCUCGGAAGUAUCGAGCUCGUCGGCGGAGAAGUUCACAUGGUGCGAGAUAACGCCCAGCUCCGAGAAGGAUUCGGCGACGAUCAGAAACUUGAGGUUUGGUCUCCUGAUUUUUCGAUGUUUUGCGAUCUUAAUUGGACAUUUCGUGAAUCCCCUUCUAGUGUUCUCUAAUAAAUUGUAGAAAUAACUGUGUAGUAAAAACUUGUUUUUUAUUUACACUAGAACUCAGCACUACAUUGAGUGAUCUAUUGUCAUGUUUCAACUUUCGGUUUGUGCACUUCAGAAGGUUCUCUAUACGAGAAGUUUAAGCAUUAAACUGAGUGUUCGUAUGUAUGUUUCCACUUGUACUUUAUUAUUGGUACUCAACCGUAAGUGAUUCCAUGCUUUUAAACUAUUAGGUUCUUCUCUUUGUUUUGCUACCUCGUAGACGUAUCUCCUAAGAAAAUUCUUUUAUACGUUGUUUCUAAAUAUGCUUGGUAUUGAGAGUUCUAUUUCUUUAGGAUUUUCAUGAUGCCUCCCAUCUGAAAGUUGCUUUAACGUUUUUCUUUCUCACUUCAAUGGUGAAGUUCAAAUGGCAUCAUUGUUGAUGGGAAUAUUGUUGAAGAAGAAGCAGUGGAUAUAAAAAGUGGAACUGAAGUCAUUUCAGGGCCUGAUAAAGAAGGUAAAACAAUAUUCUUUUUGUUAUUUUUGGGACUAUUAACUGAGCUUCUUUGAAGAGGUUAUCUCAAAGGUAAUUAUGUCUGUCUUGACCCUUAGUCUUCUUUUCAGGAUAUUUAUGUUAUACAUUCAAAGUAAUACCUUUCGAGAUACGCAACAAAAAGAAUGUUCAGGUAACUGCCUUGAACAUCUUGGACCAUUCAAUUCAAUUAUUUAAUUAUUUGUGAUGUAUAUUCUAAAUUGUUACUCCACAUUCAUUGCUAGAUUGUCUUAGAUGUUGAACAUGCAAAAUGCAGCAUAUGCUUAAACAUAUGGCAUGAUGUUGUUACAGUCGCUCCUUGUCUCCACAACUUCUGGUACUUAAUCGUUUUCUUCACUGCUUUCCUUUACUUCAUGAUACUUCUUUCGCAAAGAUGAAUUCUAACCAUCUUUAUCCUUCUUAAAGUAACGGUUGCUUCUCGGAGUGGCUAAGGAGGUCUUCAACCCGCUCACGUGACAAUGUGCAAAAUGUAGUGUGCCCGCAGUGCAGGGCAAAUGUACACUCUGUUGGAAAAAAUCACUUUUUACGCAAUAUUGAAGAGGUACAGUUGCUUUGACUUAAUAUUUCUAUAUUCUUCAAAUUGUGGAAUCCUAUUGUUUUAUUUUGCUCAUAUUGUGAGUUCAGAUUUUGAAGAAGUUUAAUUUGUUUCAACUUUCAUCAUUUCAUGAAGAUGACCAUAAUCAAGAAGAAGAGAAUGUUGGUAGCUCGUGGUUUUAUGAGGAAUUUGUUUCUAAGUUUUAGGAGUUAGGUUGCUUGUGUUGUAUAACUUUGGAUCAUAUAAUCAAUAGGCAAUCCCUUUUAUGAACAGAUGGUGCGAAGGAUAGCCUUAAUAGUUUUCUUUCCUUCUUUCGCUUUCUAAAUUUACUUUUUUUUUUUUUGGUUUACUUGCUUGAUUAUAUCCAUCUACACAAGAAGUGUAUGAAAUGAUUAAUCAUUUAGGUGUUGUGUCUAUUCAUGUGACCGCUAUUCAAAUUUAUAUCAUCUAGCCUCAUUGCACAUGCUGCAUUGCAAAUACAUGGUGUGGCUUUGCUCCUUUGGCUUUUGACUUUGGAUGUGUGUGGAACUGUUUUAAUUUUAAAUUUCUGUAUGUCCUGUGUUGUGUAUUAAAAUAAAUGGAGCAGUGAGAUCUCCAUGGUUGUCACAGUUCAUGACUUCGUGUACAUCUGAGAUGACUAAUGUUGUGUGCUGUUGUUGUUCUCAUGUCCAGUUAAUCUGCAUAUGUUAGAUAGGGAAAUCAAUUUUCCCUUUUUGCGUGUUUGUUCUCUUGUUUUUGCUAUUUCUCAUCUUAAUCUGUUUUGUGUAGGCAAUCCUGCAAACUCAUUCUUCACUAAAGCGUUCUGAUGAAGAAAUUGCUUUAUUAGAUACGUAUGCCUCGAUUAAAUCAAAUCUUGUAAGUUCAAAUGUUUAUUAAAAAAGGUAUUGUUUAUUUUUAGAUUAAGAAGACUGGUAGUGAAUCAAUCUCAGAGAGUCUUUUCAAAGAUGUUUAUAUAGCUUCUGUGUAUCUAACCGCAUGUUGCAGUUUGAUUCUUUAGACGAUCUCUCUUAAGUUUUUAAAACAUCACCUACUUAGAUUGGGAUUUAUGAGUUUAAUUAGUGAUAUCAAUCAGUUCGUCUGCUUAUUAUGCAUAUUAAUAAUGUAUAUCUACAGUAUGCUUCUAUUCAAAAUAGAUGUAGAUAUGUACAGACAUAGACGCAGACACAACGGACACAUACACCCACAUAAUAAGACAACAGUACUUUUACAAUGUUAAAACUGUAAGAUGAUCUACCCAAGACAUCAAUGGUUGAGAGAGAGCAUGAAGUGGAAUCUUCCUGACCAAAUAGUCAGGAAUCUUUGAAUUGACAAUGAUGAGUUCACAAAUCUUGUUGAGCACUGGAGCUUGAGGAGAUUAUUAGAUAUAGAAGUUACUAAUCGUAGCAAAGGUCCUUUUGCAGAUCAAACCUUGUGAUAUUUGAAUGUCCUCGAGCUUUCUCUUCUUUGACUUUUACUAAAACUAUGUUAUCUGAAGAAGGCUUGAAAUAGUAAAGAUUUUCUUCAAGUUGAAUUGUGCCAGUUUUUCUAAAUAUUGACACCUUGAUUUGUGUGCAGUCCCACCUUUGGAUGUUUGAUGCAUGCUAACCUCACAUCAAAUUUAUUAUUAUCAUGUGCAUUUUCUUGUUGUCUUAGAUUAACUAAUCUGGAAAUUUUCAUCAGGUUAACUUUUUUGGAAACUCCCUUUAUUUUACUUCUCUUAGGUAUUGGGAAGGCAGAAAAACCCAUCAAGAAAGCGACCUUUGUCUCUGUCAAGUGAUGAAAGCAACAUCACAGAUCUUCCUUGCCCACAGUGUGGUAAUAUAGAAGCCUUCAAUAUUGUAGCUUAUAGUUAAAAAAAUGUUAUUGUGCAUUUUAUUAAUGGCGAACAAGAUGAUCAUCAAGCUUAAACAUGCUACUGAUCAAAAGAGCUAAUGUAUGAGAGUUGUGUGCACUUGUUAUACAUGUCGAAAAUAUAGUCCGAAUUAGGACUAACUUGUUUCAAUAUAGUUUUAAACAAAAGUUCUUGAUUUUGAUCAUUUUGCUCUUAAUGUCUCAACCAUUUUUAUUUAGAAGUGGCGCCUAUAUUUUUAGCAGCUUGUUGACUCAUAUUUUGGGUGUUGAAAUAGAUUGUUUUUACAUGGCUGAAGUCCUUACUGUGUAGCUUGAAUCUCUUUUUAACGCUAUACAAUUUUCACCAGGCACUGAAUUUGGUGGAUUUAGAUGCAGUCCAGGCACAGCACACUUGCAAUGUCAAGGAUGUGGCGGAUUAAUGCCAUCUAGACCUAAUAACGGUGUACCACAACAUUGUAAUUAUCUACUUUUCAUGUUUUAUUAGUUUGUAAGUUUAGAUUUCCAAUACAGGCCUUCACCACAUAUUAACUUCAAAUCACUGGUGUUAUUUUCUCUUAGAUACUGUCAAUUUCUGAUCUCAUCACGUUGAAAUAGAUCUUUGUUCUAACUUUGAACUUGUUAUUUGACUCUUUUCAGUUUGUGUAGCAAUAUUCUAUGUUUAUUCACCAUAAUUUAUAUCUACCUCUUAUGUUCUUCACAAAUGGCUAUUCAAUCAGGGCAAUUCUGUAAUGCAGGCUUAGGUUGUGAUAGGGCAUUUUGUGCGGCUUAUUGGUGUUCACAAGGUGUGGAUUCGAGUGAAUUUGAUCUAAUCUGCCAUCGGGACACAUUCAAACCAGUAUGCUAUGUUGCCAUUUUUUUUUUUUUUUUUUUUUUGCCCUUGAUUUAUCAUCCUUCAAUUUUAAAUUUGUUAACCCGUAGGUCCUGUACCAUCUAUGCUACAUUCUUUCAGAAAUAGCCUUUGAUGGAGAUUAAAAAAAUUAAACUAUUAAUCAAUUCACUUGUGUUACUGCUUUUGUCUUCAUUAUAAGCUUAUUCUAUCUAUAUAUACGGCAACUUUAUAGUGCUAAAAGAUUGCCACUACUGUAGUCUACAGUUUGUAUGAUUUGGUAAACGGUUAAUUAUACUGACUCGGUGAAUCUACGUUGCCGCUUGUUGUCAGCACAUGGACAAUUUAAUUUAAUAGCUGUAUAAUAUCCUUGUAUUAUACGUACACAGUUAUAUACCUCUUGGAAAAAUUAGGAUAUUUCUUCAUUCUGCAGAUAUCGGAGCGCACUAUUUCCAGAAUUCCUGAUCUGGUGCACCAGAACAAUCCUUAUGAAAGAGAUGUACGAGAUCAUAUACUAUAUGCAUUGGAACAAAUAUAUUACUUUUAUAUAUCAAAAUGAUUGGUCUCUGAUCUGACUACGUACAUAAAUUGUUCUGUUAGAUUACAGAAAGGUGCAUACAGCAGACAGGGAAGACACCGCAGGCUGUAAUCUCAGAGUGGAUUACCAAAUUUGACAACAAGCAAAUAGGUAAACUCUUUAUGUUCUCAAUUCCUACUAAUUCAAUGACCUUGAAAAAUGUUAUGAGCCCAUAUGCAUUUACAUAUGAUGCAUAGAGAAUAUAGUUUGUUGCUUGAUAUAUUGAUUACAUAAUUUUUUAUUUUGCUUCAAGUUAUUCACCAGCCAUUUCAAAGAGGCCUUGUUGUGUGUAAUGACAGUUGUCUUCUUGGAACUUACAUUUUUGGAAUUUUUUGUGUUUUUUUUCCUGGUCCUCGCAGACCGUUCAAGGUUGCAGAUAAACCAUGGCGAGACAAUUACUUCCCAAACACAUCUUUGCUAGUAAGUAGCCUUUUUGUGUCUGGCCUUUCUACUGAUGCAGUGACGUCCUGCAUGCUAGAAAAAGUGUGUAGAAAGUUCUUUAUAUCAGGGACUUUGUGCAAAAUUGUGAGGCAUUGAACUAUUUGGUUUCUAAAAAUGCUAGGCUCUUUUUGUAGUUCCCAGUUAAAAAUAGCAUGGUAACAUUCCACGAGUGAAAUGUAUUUGAUAGGUGUUACGAUAUCUGGUUGAUUGAGCAUUAUGUACUGAUUUAUUCUCUCAAUCUUUCUGGGGGAUAGAAAACCCUUUAUUUUUGAAAUUUAUUAUUAGCUUUGAGUUCCUAUUGACUUCCAACUUACAAGAAUAUCCUAUCUUCCUAUUUUUGAAAUGGAUGCAGUGAUUGCUACAAUAAAUUGGUUGAUUACCUCUUGUACUGGUUUCGAGUGUCGCUGCCUAGUAAUGUGCGUACUUCUUAUCCUUUUCUCGAGAAUUCCUACUAUUAUUAGUUUGCAUUAAAAAGAUGCUACUCAAACAUUAUACAAUUGAAGUUUGAUUACAGUUGCCUUUUCCAUGAUCUUUGGUUCUUAUGGAGAAGGAAAAAAAUGAUCAUGUUUCGUUUGUUUUUGCAAGUCCAUUUAUUCAUAAUCACUCAUGAACAAAAAUUAUUUGCUCUAACAUCUGCACUUUACAUUUGAUAAAUCUCAUCAUUCAGACUUAUUAUUUGUUAUAUUAUUACAUGAUAGUUGUGUUUCUUUUGCCAACUGUUUUCUUCUGUUCAUUUCCUUUCUCCCCCCCCCUCUUUCCAGCUUCUUCCGCCAGAUGCGGUCAACAGGGAGAACUGUUGGUAUGGUUACGUCUGUCGUACCCAGCACCACAAUGUUGAACAUGCUCGGAAAAGGAACCAUGUGUGCCGUCCGACAAGAGGCAAUACAUGAGUGAUGGUUCUCUUUCAACAAUUCUCUAACACCUAAAGGAGGAAAUAGAAAAGCAAAGGAAGAAGACAUAAGUUAUAAUCUACCAUUAUAUAUUUCAGCGGCAUUUUGUCUGUUGUUCCCCUCGAAUCCUGAGAUCUCAAUUAGCUCUCGUCUUGCAAAGUUUGAUGUAUGCUAGUGUCUUUUUCGUGUGAUCUUUAAAGUUGGCCGAGUAUCUCUACUGUGAAAGCAAUCCAUUAAUCUGUUUUUUUAUAUAUAUAUCUUCAAUUAACAUCAGUAGCUGAGUCAUUUUUUGUCUCUCCCUUCUUUUUAUCCCUUUAGCCGUGUCCUAAUUCAAUAUUCGAAAAUUGUUCUACUGUUAUGAUUGUGACGGCCAAUUUAAGGAAAUAGAACAGUAUGUGAACUCUCGUAGGGUUCGUAGAGGAAGUGUUUUUCUCUGUUUUCUUUUUCUUUUUUCUUUUCCGGUCAUAAGGAGUAGCUCAAAAGCCCCACGAGACCUAUCUAUAUAUUGGGCGGUUUGGGUUUUCAAAUUAGAUGCUUUUUAAGUGUUAUUAUUUUUAAUUUUUACCCCAUCGAGUCACAUUCGAUAUUUUGUUGGUGUCUCCUACGCUCGGUGCCAAAACAGUAUUAAUGGAGCCGAGUACGUUUGGUACUAUUAAAACCAACAUACUAUACUGUAGGUGUCAGCUCAUUUAUGUCCUGGUACCUUAUUGGAGUGUUGCCCUUGAACCUGCUGAACGUUUGUCCAAAGAUUUUGAACUACGCCACCACCGACAUUCAAAAAGAGUCUAGUCAACCUUACAAAUAGGUCACCGACCGUUUCUAGAGCAAGUGAUAAAAAAUUUGGUGGUUGAUAUUCGAGAUCCAAGUUUGAAUCUUAGUUGAUUCAUAUUUUUAGUUAAGUUUAUUUUUAAAUGAAAUAAACGAAGUAGAUAGUGUGCUAUCUAUCUCUCUUUCUCUCUCAAAAAAAAAAAAAAAAAAAAAAAAAAACAACCUUACAAAGUGGUACACUUCAUUUUCCUUAAAAUAAAAUACUGCAUGGACUUAUCCCGCAAGCUCAGAUCAUUUAUUAAAAUGCAACACAUACUUUGGAAAAAGAUUGUGUGGCAAAUUGCAUGGCUUUAGAGUAGCUUUUUUUUAAUAUUAAAAGUAGUAUUUACAGAAAAGCGAGAAAUUGAAGUUUAUAAAUAGUUGAAGGGUAAAUAAAUUUUGAGUUACAAACAAAAACAGCGUUUAGGUAGAAACCAAUGUGUUUUCUGACGCAGGAAGUGGUCGAGAAUAUCUGAAAGGAAAAAAGUUAGUAGUGUUAUUUUAAUUAAGAGCUUUAGCCGGGUUAAACAUAUUUAAAGAACACUUACAUGAUUUGUAUGUUUCAAUUGAUCCAAACAGGCCUAUUCAUAUACUCACCGAUAAAUUUGAACCUAAUUUUACCCAUGCUGCUGAAGAUGCAUUACUUAUGUCCAUCUCUUGGGUAAACAAAAAACAGCGUUCGACCUGCUUACCCAAAAAACAGCGUUCGACCUGCUUAAGUGAAGGAUUAUAUUACAAGAGGAGGACACCCUUACGUGAAGGCAGAAUGUUUCGACCUGCUUCACAAUGAUGGAAGAGUGUACUUUCUACUAAAGAUACCUUUAAAAGUGACAAAUGCUUUGAUCUCGGUGAUGGGCGGUCUGUUGACUUUUGGUCUGAUAGGUGGUAUGGUGACGCUCAUUUGAAAACACUUUUUUUUCGAUAUUUAUGAGAAAGUAGCUAAGAAGAGACUUUUAAUCAAGGAGUGUCGCUUCCUAUAAGGUUGGAGAUGGAAAAAAAUCCUACGAGGAACGGCGGUCCGGUUGUCGAGGGGUGACUGCCGAAUCAGAGAAUUCAAAGAGUUUCUCUCAAGUUUCCAAGUAGCGGACAGGCCGGAUGAAAUUCGAUGGAGAUGGAAUGCUGGAAGGAGUUUUACUGUUAAGUCUAUGUAUGUACUGGUCUGAGAUGGGGGAGUACUAGAUUUUCUUUCGCUGAAGGUUUGGGAGUUGAAAAUAUCAUCUAAAGUUAGAAUUUUUAUUUAGUUAGCACUUAAAAAACGUCCACCUACGUUUGACAACUUACUCAAAAGAGGGUAGUCCGAGAAUCAACAGUGCGUGAUGUGCAGCAACGAUGUUAAGACUGUUGAUCAUCUGCUUGUUGGAUGCGUAAUCAGCAAAUUUUUAAUGUUCAACAUCCUAGAAGGUAGGUACAUUCCGUGGCCUGGGAUGGAUGUCAGGGAUGUCUGGGAACUUCUGGUUAGGGACCGCCCUCCGAGGACAACAGCGAGGGAUUUAAUCAGGGUCGCAACCUGUUGGUGGAUGAUCUGGCGGGAAAAAAACGACGUAAUUUUUAGAAAUCAUUCAUUUGACCUUUUGUGACAAUUAGACGAAUCCGAGAAGUGAGCGAAAAAUGGAUUGAGUUUUGCUGCUUUUAGUUACUUGAUCUCGAGUGAGGAGUAGAAGUAGUAAUUUUUCUACGACUUUUUCUCUUUGCUUUUAUUUGUAUUUUCUGUUUUGUUUACCUUUAAUAUUUUUCGAGGCCAUGUUGCCUCAACCCCCUGUAGUCAAAUUUAUUUGCUAAAUGAAUAAAGCGGGUAGCGUACUACCUUUUUCUCUCUAAAAAAAAAAAAGAUAAAAACGAUGGAGCCCAAUAAUAAACUAUUUGUUUUGUUUGCUUUUUUUAAAAUAAACUUUAAUUUAAAAAUACGAAGUAAACUUUGAUCUGUAUUUGGAUCCCUCAAUUCAAACCAACAACAGCACCAAUGGCGCCUGGAGAGAGAGGGAGAGAGAGAGAGAAUCUUAUUAUUAUUAUUAUUAUUAGGGAAAACUUCAAAUAGUCCCAUUGUGGUUUUACUUUUUCUCAUUUUAGUAUCCUAUUGUUUAAGGAGUAUCAAGUUAGUAUCAUGUGGUUUUACACUUUUUCACUUUAGUACCCUGUGGUUUAAAAUGUAUCAAGUUAGUAUUGUGUGGUUUCGCAGUUUCUCACUUUAGCACCCUAUGGUUUCGUACUUUCUCAUUUUAAUACUCCGUGAUUUUUAAACCACAAGGUACUAACUUGAUACAAAAAUGAAAUCACAGAAUACUAACUUGAUACAAAAAUAAAAUUAUAGAGUACUAACUUGAUAUAUUUUAAACCACACGGUACUAAAAUGAGAAUUUACAAAACCACAGGUACUAACUUGAUACACUUUAAAUUGUCGAAUACUAAAAUAAAAAUUACGAAACUAUAAGGAUUUUUUUUUAAAAAAAGUUUUCCCUUAUUAUUAUGGAGAGGUGGGGGGCCAGAGACAGCAUGAUGGGGUGUCUGACGCGGGACUGCUCAUUUCCACGUGUCUUGGCGUGUACGGCCUCCGAUGCAUCAAAAAUGAAAGAGAGGGUACGGCCCCCUGAUCGCCGCAGAUCGCAAAAGUUAGGCGGAGCUGCUCCUACUGCUGCUGCCUGCUGCUACGCGCAAUCGCCUCUCUCUCUCUCUCUCUCUCUCUCUCUCUCUCUCCAUAGUCCAUCCUUCUCCCUCUGUGGCUGACUGUGGGGCCCCACAAAAAAAGAUUAAAAAAUAGAUUAAAAAAAUAAAAAUGAGGAAGGAGCCAGUGACGUCGCCCCACGCGUCCGGCGGAUAAGUCGUGCAGCGUUUUACGAGCUGUUACAUCCGUGACCCCGACCGCCGGCCCGACUCUUCCCUAAUCCUGUGCCAGAGUACUUGUACUGCCGGUCCUUCUCGGAGUUGAGAAGAUACCGGUGGAACCCAUCCCUCCUCCCAUUAACGCCGUCUCGCAUUUUGGGACCUCACUUGUUAGAAUAAUAAUAUUUCUACACAACUUAUUUUUUCCACUACCGUUCAUUAUUUUUAUUUAAUAAUUCAGAUUUUUUUAAAAAAAACAAAAAUUAUAAUCUGCCAUAAUAGAUAUUUUAAAAGAGACACUGAUUAUCAGGUACAGAACAAAAAAGUCAUUUUGGUCUUUUUAAUAUUGUGUGAAUAAUUUAGUAAUCUUAUCUUUACUACAAAAAAAUCAAAUCUCUAUUCUCUUUUUAUUUUCUUUUUCUCUCUCUAUUUUUCCUCUUCAUCAACAGUAGGGUAGGAUUCGGGACGGAUUUCCAAAAAUCCGAAUCCGAAUCCAAAUAUGAAAAAUUUUAAAAAAUCAUAUUCACAUCCGUACCUGACUAAAAGUCCAAAACCCGAAUCCUAAUCCGAACAUGAAAAUCCAAACCCGAAAUAUUUAUUUUUCCUUACAAUAUUUUAAAAUAAUAUUAAAUUAAAUCUAAAUUUAUAAAAUACAUAUUCAAAUAUAAUAUCAAAUAUUUACAUAUAUUAUAUAUAUCAAAAAAUAAAUUCGGGUUCGGAUCAGAUACAAUCAAAAUCCAUACCAUGAAUUUAAAUCCGUCGGAUUUUUCAUUUUUGAUAUCCAUAUUUAAAACUAUAUCCAUUUAGUAUAGAUAAAUCCACCGCAUUUGCUUUCAGAUUUGGAUUCAGAUUCAUAUAAAAUUAUUGAGAUCCGUUCCCAUUGACAUCCAUAAUCCACAAAUAUUUUGUUAUUUUAUAUCCGUAAUCUACAGAUAUUUCAUUAAAAAAAAUUACAAUAUAUUAAAUUCGUUGAAUUUAAAUUUUUUUUCCUACAUUCAAAAUUUUUUAAAGUUUGUGAUAAAAAGUUAAUAUCUUAACUAGAAGAAUUUAAAAGCUUCUUAAACAAACUAAAUAUGUUGAAUUCGUUAUUAUCAACAUUAAAUUUGUUAAAAUAAUAACACAAAAUUUUUCUUACUUAAAUAUCAAAUUUAAAUAUCAAAUAUUUAAAUUCAACAUAUUUGUUACCACUUUUAAAAUUUUUAAAAUUAAAAUUAAUGCCUAAAUUAGAAGAAUUCUAAAAUGCCUAAAAUUUGGGACAUCAAUCAAAUUUUAAUUUAAUAUUUAAAUUAGUUGCAAAAGAAAUGCUAAAUUUGGGAUAUUAAUCAAAACUUUUUUAAAAUUUUACCUGAACCUUCAUUAAUCAACGGUUAAGAUCUUUUUUAUUUUUUACAAAAUAAAAGUAUCAAAUCUUUUCUCCACUUGUUAGCCAUUGUAUGCCAUCUGCAAAAGAAUAAUAUAAUAAAAUUUUGUUUUUCUUUCCUUCGAAAUAGGAGAUUCGAAUAGAUUUUCCUACUUCGGACAAGGGCCCGCCGUGUUUCAUGCGGGCCCCUCCCAAUCAACGAGCUCUCCGAUUUUAGAGAGACGAUCACGACUCCUCUGCGAAUGGCUGUGAACACAUUCUGUCGGUAAUGAGCGAAGAAAUUGGUUCAUACGUAUAAAACUUACAUUCAAACUUCAAGAACACUACACUACUUGUGGACAAAAUCAGAACAAAGUAACUUGAAAUAUUUUCCACCCAGAUUGAAUUUGUUCCAAAUUUAAUCCUACCCUUUAUAAAGUGCUUCAACUAUGUAUAUUUUUUUCCCCAAUACUACCAUGUCGAAUUGGAUAAAACAUGUCCGCGCAUCUUUAGAUAAUCCUAAGCAAGCCCAACGCACAAAAAACAAAAAGAAAGAACAAAAGAAAAAAAAAAAGAAAAAAAGAACUUACCACAAAUGAGAGACUAAGUGGGAAUACCAUUAAUUAGGUAGGUGCAAGAGUCAAAGUGUGGACACUCAAUCAGGUACUAGGGCAAUAAUUCAUUAGAAUUCGUGUUUUAGGGUACGAGUUAGGUGCGAGAGAUGUACCAUUUUGCACAUCCUUUGAUUUGUUUAAUCGUUGCGGAGAUUACACUUUUUGACAAAGCUUAGCCAUAUGUGUGAAGCAGGUCCAGGAACUUUGUCACUUAAAAAAAUAAUUAAAAGAAAGCUUUUGCUAAUAUGUACAUAUAAUAAGCAACUUUGUUAAUCAUUAUGGUUGCUUCUUACUCGACGCGCGGUAGGUAGUGGUACUUUUGUUCCCGAACAUUUAAAAGCGAAAGUAACAAAUGUACUAAAAACUAUCACUACAGUAAAUAAAUAUUGUUUAUUAAUAUUUAUUCAUCGAGAUUUUUUUUUCCUCUGCCAAAAAAAAUAAUAUAAAAUAUAUCAAUUAUAUUACUGAUGUGGUGUCACCAAUCACCCGUCCUAUCAUGAUUAAUAAAAAAAUAUUUUUAUUUUACUCUUUACUCAAAAGUGAGAUGUAAUUGGCUGUUAAUAAAUAAUAUAAUGUGACUGAUACACAAUAGAAUCUCUUCUGCCAAAAUACUUGUGCGUCUUUGGUUUCACUUGCCUCUGGUUAUACUGAAAUACUUUUUUUAGAGAUAAACAGAGUAGUGUAAUUUUGCAUCGCUUUCAAUAAUGAAAAUUUUGAAUUGAUGAUGGACAUCAUCAAGCACGAUUUAAGUUAUUUGAAUAUUUUAGAAAAUAAAUUUUAUGAUUUUAAGAUAUCAUUUACUUAGUAAUCAAAUUGUCUCAAAUUCAUUUUCCAUAAAUUUCAACAGUGUCAAUCAUUGAUUCGAAUAAUCUAGCUAAAAAAAUAUGCAGAAGUAAAUAGCCUGAUUUAAUUCCAGAAAUAUUUUAGCCGAGAGAGAAAAAGUUAGGCUAAACAUUUCUUAGGUGUAAUUGAGGGAGUUUUCUUCCGCAUCAUUUCUGGCAAUAAAAAACUGAAUUGAUAAUCGGUACCAUAAAAUACAAAGUAAGGUAUUUAAACUUUUAAACUCCAUAAUAUUAGAAUAUCAUUUAAUAACAACUUAAAAAAAUUAUAUGUCUAGUGAGCAAGUAAUCUCAAAUUUACUGUAUAUUAGCCGUUGACAAUUAUUAAUUCUGAGGCAAUUUGAAUACUACGUAAAAAUAUUGGAAAAAUCAAAAAUUUGAAACAUGAGAAGUUUAGAUAGUUUAAAUCAAAUUUAACAGUCUGAAUCUCAUUGAAAGCACUGCAGAAGUUACAGCCUCAUUUACUUCUAGUCUCUAUAUAUAUUCUACUCUUAGUCCCUCUCUCUCUCUCUCUCUCUCUCUCUCUCUCUCUCUCUCUCUCUAUAUAUAUAUAUAUAUAUUUAUAAACUCCUAUACAAAAUAUGUCUUACACCACAAGCAUCCAAACUCCCAUCUUCUCUUUAUCCUCUUAUCAUUUUUUUUUCACACUAAAACUCAUUUGAAUUUUAGUGAAUCCCAAAACACAAAGAGCGUAAGAUUUACACCUAUCAGACAAUAUUUUCCAUAUUUGAAAAUCUAGUUAUAAAAAGCAAAUAAAUGAAAUAGGACAAAAGAAAAAAGUGGACGCAUGGUACGACAUGAAUAUUUAUGAAUACAUAAUCAACAAACUUUACGAGAACAAUUAUUAGAGAAUUGAUAUUUUUCAAAGAUAUUGUUCUGAUUUUACAUCUAGCAAUGAUUUAGACUCUCUUAUUUUGACAGCAUCAAAAUUAGUUGUGUAGAUAUCAAGUCCCAGAUGAUGAUUAACAUAUAAAAUGGAGCAUAACAAAUUUGAACAACUGGAAUAAGAUACACUGGGAGUUGUGAGAGUGCAAUUUCAAGGCGACUGCAGCGUGUGUUGACUUUUGCAAACGAAGAUCAAAUAAUGUUCGGGGCCCCAACUGGGCUGUCUCAAAAUAAGAGGCAAAUAACAGCUCCACGUAGCUCGCACAGUGCAGUCGCUGUACUUAACCACAAAAUGAAAAAGAUGUCACAUUCCUUAAACAUUAUGCAAUUUAUUUAACAAUCUACAAUUAUUUCACUCAAUCAUCCAGUGCUUUACUUUGUUAUUAAUAACUCUUUUCCUUUCUUUUCCUUUUUUUUGACAAUUUUAAAUAAGAGGGGUUAACUCAAUCAAUUGUCUGAUUGAAAAUUAUUAAAAAAUUAACAAAACUCAGAGAGUUAAGAAUGGAUGAUUGUUCAAAAAUUAUAUAUAUAAACUUAUUUUUAAAUAUAAAAAUAUAUAAACACCCUUCUCUAACAACUUAAACUUUUAAAUUACGACGGUUAUUUCACAUGGUAUCAAAAUAGGAGGCCAUGAAUUCAAGUUACGUCAGAGUCCUAAUAUUAUUAAUUUUAUUCUAUUUAAUUCAAAUCCACGUCAUGACCCUUGUAAAAAAAAGUCUGGAACCCAGACAUGAAAAAGAAUGUUAAAUAUAAAAAUUUAUAAAUACUGUUCUCUAAUAACUUAAGCUUUUAGACUACUGAGAAUACUAUAAUACACACACCCGAAAAUGUUAGUUUUGUAUGCUUGUUACAAUGUAGGCUUAAUAAUAAAAAUCUUCUCUGGAUUUCAUCCUGUAAAAAAAUUUGACAUUAAAAAUUACAUUAACUUUUGAUGAAAAAAACUAACGGUCCAUCCUACACUUUAGUCUUCUGCCAAAUGUAUCUAAAAUUUAAAAAUUACAUUAACUUUUGAUGAAAAAAACUAACGGUGAUGAUGUGGAAAAAUCAUUUGACAUUAAAAAUACAUAAUUCUCGCUUGUGAAUACUUUUUCCUAAUUUCUUUUGAAUUUCGAUAUUUGACCAUGCGUGCUUGAAAAAAUUUAAAUGGACUUAAAAAGAUGCUAUCUCAACAUGCAAUCGUUAAAGUUAACUAAAACACUUAAUAGAACAACCUAUUUGAUAUAGAAUUGAAUUAUUUAUGCAAAAAAAAUAUUUGAGAUACAUAGUAAAGUGCAAAAAGAAUUUACAUAAUUAAGUCUACAAUAUAAAAAUCUGAAUCAAAUCGUACAUAUGAUCCUAAAUUAAAGCAUUGUGCAUUUUCCAAAUCAAAACAUCACUCAAUUUACUGGGCAAAAAAUUUUGUGGGCAUCCGUUGUUUGGGGAUGAAGCGGCGCGUGGUUUGCAGGCGCCCAUUCCGCCGCCCAUUUUUCUCACCUGCUUCCUUUUCUCUCUCUCUCUCUCUCUAAAAAUUGGAGCUCACAAAUUUUUUCUUUUUCAUUUUCGAGGGUCAGGUGCAGGCGCCUGUAUAUGAAUAUUUCAAUAAAUUAUUUGAAAACGAUGCCUAUAAAAUUUUUGUGGCAAUUCACUCCAUGCAAGAGAUGAUCACACCGUCAUAAUAAAUAAAGGCCUAAUAAUGCUACUUUGGUGAUUUUAAAGGAUACAUCAUGCACACGAAUCUCGAGGAGCUAAGGAUCACGGGACACAGGUACAAAAGUACUCGCCCCAGAUCACACACCACUCACUCACUCCCCAAACUGAAGCCACAACUGUGACAAAAGUUGUAACUGAGGAGCGAGCCUACGAGGAGUCUUCUUCGUAGCCUACCCCCUUUCUAGAAUGCAAACAGGUAUAUUGAUGACGUGGUGUAACCAAUCAAUCAGAAAUUUUCUUUUAAAAAAUAUAUAUCUCAUCAUGAUUAUAAAAAAAUAUUUUUAUUAUAUUUUUGUUUGAAAAGAAGAAAAGUAAUUGACUUGUCAUUGAUAAUGUGAUACAAGUGUGAUAGUGUAGAAUUCCUCCUCCACCUGAGAGAUAAACCUGAGAGAUAAAGAUGUUUGCCUAAUUUUAGAUACGAAAGUGAAAUUCACCACCUUUUUUUUUUUUCCUUUUCUUCUUGUUUUUUCAAAAAAUAAAAAUAAAAUUAAAUUAACUAAAUCUCUUUAUGGUCCCCUUAUUGGCGUCCCAGCCCUCUUGCUGAGUCCAACUAUAUAUGAGGUUAUAUAUAUAUAUAUAUAUAUAAAACCAAAAUGAGUUCCCCUCCCAUGACAUGAGGAGCCAUUAGUUUUGCUCUCUCUCUCUCUCUCUCUCUCUUUAGACAAAGAGCGCGUCACCCUUCUCCUUCGUAUCAUCAGCUUCUGAUAGAGACCUCCUCCAGUCCUCCUCCUCCUCCUCCUCGUGAAUACGUGAGAAAGGAAAUGUAUCUCACAAGGCCCACAUUUGUAUUCUCCUCCUCAAGUGUGUGUACAAACAUAGAAAGAUUGAUUAGCAGCAGCAUGAGAAAUAGAGAGAGCUGAGAAAACCAUACAUAAGAAAGCGAAAGAUGAAGGCUUUUCUUUUCUUUCUCUUUCCUUUUUUUAUUUUAUUUUUUGCUGGGGGGCCGGGGGUGCAUGCUAAACCGGUAAUAGUAUGAUGAGAGAUUCUCCUUGAAAACGAAAAAGAAGAGAGGGGUAAAAAGGAAUUAUUACUGCACACAAACUAAUUAAUUCCUCAUACAAAUCUUUGUUGCCUCUCUCUCUCUCUCUCUCUCUCUCUCUCUCGCACACUCUCUUGUGGCCCUUGUUAAUUAAUCUGGACCCACAACAAGCUUCUAAAAAAACUCACCGGCGUAGAAAGAUAAUAAUUUAAAGGAAAAGAAAAGAAAAAAAAAAAAAAAAAAAAGAGAGAAAAGGAAAGGAAAAGAAGCGUGGAAGCUAGCUAGUAUUCUCCCACUGAUCAAAGAUAUUCUUAAACCACUCAAAAACUCUGCUUCUAAUAACUCAAUCGAGAAGGGAUCGAGAAAGAGAGAAUCGAUUUUUUUUCCUUUUUUUUUUUUGGUUUAAAAAAAGGGGGAGAUAUUAAUUAAUUUCUACCAUGCGAUAUAAACCUUCUUUCCUUUUUCUCUUGAAGUUUACUACUGUGAACUGGUUUGGUGAUCUUCUCGACUAUCCGCGCCUUGCUGCUGGCGAGCAUGGGAUUGCUGCUGCUGCUGCUGCUGCUGAUGUUGGUGGUGGUGGUGGUGGUGAUCCAACGGUUGAUGAUGGUGGUCGGAGUUCAUUCCCCGAUUAUAAGCGCCGAGAGCGGCGGCGGGGAGCAUCCCGAGGUUGGUGUCGGAGAUGCCGAGCCCCAGAUGCUGCGUCAUCGGCCCCAGGGCGCCGGUGCGGCCUCCGCCGCCCUGGAACUCCAACCCGCCGGAGAAGUUGAUCCUCGACAUGAACUGCAGCGGCGCCUGCACGCUGCUCCCGCCGCCGCCGCCGCCGCCGCCGCCCGCCGCGGCGGCCGCGCGGUACUGCCCGGCCGCCCCGGCCGGGAACGUCCAUAUGGAGGCCUCCGACGGCCCGGCGGCGGAGGGCGCGGCGGAGACGGGGAGCAUCCAGAAGGCCCCGCCCGGCGCAGCGCUGUUCGGGGCCACCGUCCACAUUGCCGCCGCGGAGACGACGCCGCCAGGGGGCCGCACUAGGCCAGCGGCGGCGUCGCCUCCGCCGGAUGCGGCGGUUCUCGACGACUUGGAGGCGGAGGACGGGGAAGAGGGGCCGGCGUCCUGGGGAGGGGUGUUCUGGGGCUCCUCCUUGAAGAGGUCCUCUCUGAAGCGUUUCCUCAAAUAGGUAUCGGACGAGGGCUCUCCUCCUCCCCCUCCCCCUCCCCCUCCCCCUGCGCUUUGCAAACCCUCGGUCAUCUGCUGCUCCGGGGAGAGCAGGUGGUGCUGGUGAUGGGGAUGGGGGUGGUGGUGGUGGUGGUGGGCGUGGAGCUGGUGGAAGCCGAGCAUGGCGGCGGCGGCGGCGGAGGGGUCGUGGGCGGCGAGGGCGAGGGCGUGGAAGGAGUGGGGCCGGGGGGGGGGAGGCGGAGGCGGAGGAGGAGGAGGAGGUGGAGAAGGAGGCGGGCGUGGUGCCGGUGCCGGUGGCGGCGAUGAUGGAGGGCUCGGCCUGGCGGAGCAGCCACUCGAUGGUCUCCCCGUCGGACUUGUGCCCCAGCUCCCGCGUCAGCUGGAACACCCGCGCCGCGCACACCGCCGGCAUCCGGAUCCUCCGCCCCCGCCCCUCCACCUUCGUGUGCCGAUCCUUCGACGACCUCUUCGUCGUCGUCGCUACGGCGGCGCCGGAGGACGAUGGAGAGGGGUCGGGGGCCUUCGCGUGGGGCGCCGGCGCCGACGAGGUGGAGAUGGCGAGGGACGGGUCCACGCGCCCGCCUCCGUGGGCGUGGAUGAGGGACCCCAUGAAAGAGGCCGCACCGCCGCCGCCGCCGCGGCUCUCGAAGGAGACGAGGUGGUGGUGGUGGUGCUGCUGCUGCUCCGACGUGCUUCUGCUGCUGUUCGUUCCUGUACUAUUACUACUAUUCGAAGGCCCGCCUCUUCCUCCGCCUCCUUGCUCUCUCUGGUCCAUCUCUUCUCUCCCGAUAAACCCAAUUUUUCUUUCUUUGAAAUAAUAAUAAUAGUAAUAGUAACAACAACAACAACAACAACAACAACCUUUCUUUCUUUCUUUCUUUCUUUUUAAUCUAUAGGGGUGCUCUAAUUAAAUUUCUUCAAUAAUUCCUCGUUAUGAUUUUUAUCCUACCAUGUUCUUCUUCUCUCCCAUCUCUCUAUUAGUUUACCCUGAAAACUCUUUUAAAAACCACCGAGAAAAAAAAAAAAAUAGAGAGAGAUAGAGAGAGAGAGAGAAUAGAAAGGAAGAGAUGGAGCACCUAGUUAGGGUUUUGGACUCGUCCCAGGGCACGUGCAGGGUCCGGGAUGCUUACUCCGCUGGGCACUGCGUGGGGCUCCUUUCUCUAUUCCCUGCUAAUUCAUUGACUAUUGUCUUCGUGCGCGCCCACCCCCCCCUCCCCUCCCCUCCCCUCUCCCCACCUCUCUCACUCACAAAUAUAAGAAAGAAACAUAGAGGAAGCGAAGAAGAAACGAGUACGAGAAGAAAACAACACAACCGAAGAGAAAGGGAUAGAGGAAAAACCAAAAGAGAGAAAGAGAGAGAGAGAGAGGUCGGUUUGGAUCCUAAACCCUAAUUAAAAAAUCCCUUCCUCACCUUUCGCCUCUAUCUCUCGCCCUUCUCUCUCUCACACUCUCUUUCAUUUUUUUUUUUU